AUUCCGAUGGUUUCAUAUUUUUUUAUUUUAAUAUUCUAUAAUUUAAAAUACAAUAAUUUAGUAUCUGUGGUUUUAUUUUUCUCUUUUUAUUAUCUUUCCCGCUAUUUUUUUUUUGUUAAAUAAGUAACAAAGUUAAAACUAAAAGGUACUAAAGUGAAUAUUCGAGAAAUCUAAGUGAGAUAUUUAAAGUUUUUUUGUAUAUAAUUUAACUAAAUGUUAACGGAGGAGCUGACGAAAAAAAUGAAAUCAUAAAUCACUAAAUUGAUACACUUUAAAUCACAUGGAUAGUAUUUAGAGUUUACCUUCUUUUUUUUUUUUUUGUAUUAAGCUCACUCUCUUGGUGAGAUCACCUGUUGUGGGAUCUCGUUAAUGUUGUUGAGAACAUAAUUUAAGGAAUGAUAUCUAAUAUAAUAUAAUAUACCUUUUAGAAAUUCAAAACUAUCUAAUAUAUUCCUGACUGACCAAAAUGUCAUUAUCGAUUUUCAAAAAUCUCUUCAAAUAUCUCCAAACUUUUUAAGGGUUUACUAAUGGAAUUUAGGGUUGAACUAAAAAUCGAGUAGUAGUGGGGAAUAAAGGAGCUGAAGCCUCUUUUUUUUUUUUUNUUUCUUUUGAGAGAGAAAGGUAGCAUGUUACUCGCUUCGUUUAUUUUUUAAAAAAUAAAUUUAGUUGAAAAUAUGAAGCAACUAGGGCAUCGAAUUUAGAACCUCAAGUAUCAACUAUCAAGUACUUUGCCACUUGUACUAGGGACAGUCGGUUAAAGCCUCUAACAUUAGAGGGGCGUUUCUUUAUAUACCCUUUAUUACUAUUAAAGAUUUUUAAAUUUGCCUUCCAAUACUCAAAAUAUCCUUCUAAAGUUCCAUCUCAUUAGUAAACUCUAAAGAGAAAAAAAAUUAUUUGAGGAAAUUUUUUUAAAUCAACAAGGAUGCUUUACUAGCCCAAGAAUAAAUAAAAUAUUUUAAAAUUUUGAAGAGUAUAUUAGAUAUUAUAUUUAUUUUUAUUUUACUCUUCUCAAUAUCAAAAACGUAUGCACGCCACUUUUUCUAAAAAUAAUAAUAAUAAAUACAAAUCUUUGAAUGGUCGGAGUAAUAAGAAAAAAUCUGAAAUGGGAUACGUCGAUACUGACCCAUCACACUCUGACUUUACACAGAAAAUGUAUGUGUAAUAGUAGUGUAGAGCUAUCCAAAUCGUAGAGAAUUUGAUUUUUUUUUAUUUUUUUGAUAUUUGGAUCAAGAAUUAUACUCCAAGAAUUGAAUAGUAUCCUAGAGUUGAGUGAUCCUCACAGGAUAAUAAUAUUAAUUCAAAGAUUAAAAAUAAUUAAAAAAACUGUUCUAAGAGUCAAAAAGUCAGAAACAUCAGAUUUUCUAUUCUUUCGAUGGUAUAGUAACUCUACUCGUAAUAGUACGUGGAAAAUUGGAAAAUAAGCUACUGUCCAGUAACUGAACAAAAAUGAAAUAAUUCAAUCGAGAAAGACUUAUUAAAAUAUGGGCUUUUUAAUAAGUAUUAAGGCUUUAUUUAGGAUUACAAAAAAAUUACAUUAAAUAUGGUAAAAAAGUACCAUGAUUUUUUUUUUUUAUUUUGGUGUAUAAUAACAAACUGUGCAUAUCAUAAUGAGUCGAUUACGAUAUAUUUUCUAUGGUCUUUUGGAAAAUAGAAAAGUAUAUUUUUAUAUACUUACUCUCAAGCCUUGGAAAAAAAAAAAAAAAAAAAGAAUUAGGACACCGAAGCUCUUGAAAUUUGGCUGGAUUAUACUUGUCCCUCGUGAAGUUGAAAACAUUGGAAAGUUAUACCUACAUAUAUAUAUAUUACAUAGAAGUAAAUAAUAAGUUAUAGGUAUAUAAAUUAAAUAUGAUGUGAUAUUAUAUAUUUUUCACUUUGUCAUUAUCAGCUAUUUGAGCCCAAAUUUUCUCAGUAAUUAGCAUUUUUAUGAGAAAAAUAAAGAACUCGAAUAUAUCUAAAUAUAUACAUCUCCGCAUUCAAAAAAAAGAAACAAGUAAACAUAAGCUUUUAAAUGGCAAGUGACUAAAAAGGCUUUCAGAAUGUGAUUGAUAAUACGACAAUGAACAAAGUGUCGCAUUACUAGCAUGUCAGUAACACAUCAAUACUCAAUCAGUAAAUUUAAUUUCAACAAUCUAAAAAUUUUGGGUCAAAAAAAUAUAUAUAACAAGGCAUACCCGGCUCAUAAUUUGAGGAUCAAAAACAUAAUUUAGUACAUAUAAUAAUUUUAGGCAAUGGUUUCUCAUUCCUGUAACAUGCAUUGCAGGAGGAAAAUAAAAAAAAAAAGGGGUAAAAACUUCAAUAUCCACCCCUCGGUUUCGCAUUUUUUCACUUUAGUACCCUGUAGUUUAAAUGCAUCAAUUUAGUACUCUGUGGUUUCAUUUUUUUCUUUUCGUCGGCUUCUCUGUUAAUAUUUCGUUAAAUUAAAUACAAAAAACUUCAAAUACCCUACAUACGUUUAUCGAAUAUUUACUUUAGUAUCCUUUAGUUUUAGCUUUAUCGCUCAUUUUUUUUUCCUCCAUUAAUAUUUCGUUAAAUUAUAUACAAAAAACUUCAGAUAUCCUACCUAGGUUUAUCGAAUAUUCAUUUUAGUACUCUUUAGUUUUAACUUCGUCACCGAUUUAACGAAAUAAAUUCAUGAAAUGAAUAAUAAAAAGAGAAAAAUGAAACCACAUGGUACUAACUUGAUAUACUUUAAACUACAUGGUACUAAAGUGAGAAAGUGCGAAACCACAUGGGCUAACUUGAUACACUUUAAACCACAUAAUACUAAAGUGAGAAAGUGUGAAACCAUAGGGGGUAUUUGAAGUUUAUCCUAAAAAAAAAAAAAAGCUAGGAUUUAAUAAAGCUUUAAAGCUUAUUAUAGUAAUCACGAAACUAUGAGUGAAAUCAAGAGGAUAAGUACUCAAUUGGAUUUGCCAAAAAACAACAGAGAAAAAUCACGAGAAUACAUAGGGAACCAAUUAAAACGCAGUAGAAACAAUGACAACAAAGUUGAUGGUCACAAGAACUGCACCAUGAUUCAACAAAGCGACCAGUUACCAUUCAAAGGAGGAAAAAAAAAAUGUAUGCCGCAGAGACACUGCCAAAACUUACCAGCAAAAAUAGACUACUACUUGUAGCCAGAGAGAGAGAGAGAGAGUUAAGUGAAUCAAUGGCGUCGACACGCAACUUCAACAUCACGAUGUGGAAGAUAAUCUGAAGAAGACACGUGAGUUUUAUUAUAAAACUAUGAAUUGUACUAUAUUAAUACAUAUUAUUUAUAUUUAGAUAUUUUCUUUUCACCAUUCUUUACCAUUCCAUGAAAUUAACCAAACACAAUUUCAGUUAUUCCUGAGAAUAGCAGCAUUACAAACCAAAUAUAAUUUUACUUCUAUUCCUGAUUAUUUAGAAAUAGUAAGCUAUUCUAAAUAUAAAAAAAUUUAUCCCGCUGUUCGUUAUCCCCUAGCUCCGAAAGCGGGAAUCCUAGAAUGUGAAAAACAUCUUAUACAGCAAUGUCAAAUCUCCCUAUCCUCUAUGUCACUUUUCCUCGGUUAGUCAGUCUGUUUACUCUCCCAUGCAGCAAAACAUCUACUUUACAUUGUUCUAUUUGUCUGUUCUGUACUGUCUGUCACCUAAACUAUUCACUAUAUACUCCUGAGGUAAGGAACUUGGCAGAGUUUUCUAUAAUAGAGAUAUCAAUAAUGUACUAACUGAAUUUCCUGAGAAACAACAAGUAAGAUUGUUUGUGUCUCAAGACCAUCUUGCUUCCAAGCAUGCAGAAUUGAUGGACCUAACCCAGAUGUCACCACAUAUCCAUCAAAUCCCAUUAUGCUAUUACAAUAUGAGUUAUUAUUUUACCACCAUAUCAUUAGGAUUGUCCAGUGGAUGCUGCUGCUUUUUCCUGCGUAUUGGUAGCAUAAAACUUUCAAUAUCCUUUAUCAACUGAGUCUUCCUCGCGUAACCAAAUGUAUUAGACAGAAAUGACUUAUUGUUUUAGAUCGAUGGCUCGGAGAAACCUGCAAACUGGGUGUCUACAUAACUGAGGAAGUAGCAUAGGCUAAUAUGCUAUUAAGCGCCAUCUAUCUAAUUCGGCAUAUUUUUGAAGAAUGUAUCUCUUCUAACAGCUUAUGUUGCCAUCCUCAAACUCUCAAAACAUAGCAUGAUAAUGAUGAGUAAUUUUACCAUAUGAGAAUAUUGUUAGAAUAAGAUGAUAAAGGAUGGAUAAAGAAAGAGUGAAGAGGGAGAGAGGGAGAAAAGGAAGCUAGUUAUUUGGAUCCCACGGUGAUAUAGAAAAAACUAAUUAUGUCCUGCAAUUAGAUAAAAUAGUGAUGACUAAUUACCAGAUGAAGAUAGUGCAUACAAGGUGUUAAAGUACGAUUACGAGGAGAAGGAAAGAUGUAAAGGAUAAGAGAGCGACAACGAUGGAAGAGAGGGAUAACAAUGCAAAAGAUUACGUCCCGUAAAGAUGUAGGACAAACCAGAGAUGUCCAACAAAUUAGAAUUAAGAAAAAUAGAAUAUCUGCAGAACAUACCAUGUAAAUCAGAAAAAAAAAAGAAAUUACAUAAAUAAAAACACCCCAGCCAAUUCAAAAGGUGACUGAAAUCUUUGUCAAGUCAGCUUUGCAAUAGAAGUGGCAAUCUUCAUGCAAGUAAACAUAUGAACAGUAAACCUAAAACAGUCAGCCAACAGCACAGAACUACAAAGAUGUUGGAGGCGUCCAACGUUAUUUACUACGAAUUGUAGCAAGACAUGAAACCACCGAGAAGGACAAAUGUUUCAACAUGGUAUUUUAUUUGCAGUUGCAACUGACUACUCUUUACGAUAAAAACAUCAAAACUGCAUCAUAUAAUUUAAAUACACUAAUAACACAAAUGUGUAGUAUCAGAUUUUAACAAUCAUUGAUAUUUGCAUCAAACUUAUUGUUACUGAAUGACUAUAUUUCGAACAACAUACAGCUUAGAAGGUGUAAUAUCAUUGGCACGAGGAAUUGGCAAUGCCAACAGGAUAUAGACAAUGGUUCCCACCUACCAACUGCAGUCUCGCAAUAAUAGGGGAAACCACAUAAAAGGGACAAUAAGAGGAAACAAAAUUAUCAUUACCUAUACAUUCUUUUUCUUUUUGCUGGGUAUCACAAACUGGAUGAACUAUAAUCUGAUCGCUCACUUGUUAACAUGUCAAAACUCGGAGUUCGGGGAUGUAGGCUUUGCAAGCACCUAAAGAAAAGACAAAAAUGGAAAUUAUGAACCUAUAAUGAGAUGCAUGAAAACAAAUCAUAAGUACAUUCAAGUGAAAAUUCUAGUACUUCUGCAAAGCGUGUUUGGCGGUGCUGUGGUUUUGGUGGCUGAUUAGUCAUUGCACGCAAAGCUUGUUUCUUUUGUUGGACUUGAAUACCAAAAACUGACUGUGCAGGUGGUUUCUUUGAUGAAACAGAAGGUAAGGUGCGAGAAAGCCAGGACUCCGAAGGUGAUUUGGGCAACGGAAGCGGAAGAACGGAUUGCACGGGUUUAAAGUUCUUUUUGAUGAGAUCUUCUCCUUUAGACUGGAAUGGACCAUCACUAAUUUUAUUGCACUUAAAAGUUUCACGGCCAUUUAUCUCUCCAGGGUCUGACACUGCCAAGGUAGUCGGUAAGCCACGUUCAUCCCUGUUACGAGCUUCUAUAAUAGAACUUUCUUUUAUCUUUCGACUUACUUCCUCAAUCUCAAAAUCCUUCUCCCCUGAUUCUAUCCUCACCUUUGGAUCUGCAUCAGGCACAUCCACAGAGUCAACCUCAACACCUUUCUCUGCUGCAGGGCUCAUCGAGCCUGAGCCUGACCCCUGCUGACUGCUAUUCUGUGGUGUCGUAUCCCAACAGUCCUCACCAUCUUUCUCGCCUAAAUCAGAGCAAUCGCCCUUACUACUCUUCCGGUCUCGAUUUGGGACUCCAAGCAAACCUUUCCCCUCAUGAAAUGGUGAUUCACGAGCCUCAUUCCGUAAGGGCGAACCUUCUCCAGUUGACCUAUGAAAUGGAGAAGACCCAUCUGCUGUUUGGGAAUCACUCCAGUAAGUAAGCUGGUUUGAAUCAUUAGUCAAUUUACUCCUUCCAUCCUCACCUCGAGAUAGAUACUUCUGCCCCAAUUUGUGCUUAUAAACAGCUUCCCAUGAAUGCUAUGCAUAUGGAACAAAGCAACAAAGUUUGAAUCAAUAACAAUAAUUCAAAAGAAGAAAAGCUAAAAACAUGCAAACCUUACCAAAACUAUAGUACAUUUGGAAAUGGUUACUUGAGCUCUUAACAUUUUGAAUUUCCUUCCUAAGACUACAUUAAGCAUCUCUGUCAUAACCAGUGAUUGUUUUAAGGCCUCGUUUGGAUGUCAGAAAAAAUUAUCCACUUAUCAUUUAUUCAGUACAAAGAUUUUCUUUGUAAGGGGAAGGUAGGAAGUUAACUUUUGCUCCUUGAAAGGCCUUGGCAUCUAUGAUUUGGUAGGAAUGCAUAUUUCACCUAUGAGCUGAUUUAUCUUUAUUCUGAAAAUGACUCAAAUGCUGAAUAUGCUAUUCCAUUCUAGACAUUUGACCACACUCCUGACUUCCAAUCAUAAUAAAAAAUACUCAUACCGGAUAGGGUAUCACUGGAUAACUUAUUCCGACAUCCAAACAUGGCCUUAGUUUUUUCUAUGGCAUGGUAUGUGACUAAUAUAAUCUAAUGAAAUUUUCUGUCACUUGAUAGAAUACUCUAUUUUUUUGACAGAAACAGCUAAAAGUUCCAUCAAAAUUUGACGGAGUUUCCUCUAAUAAGAAAUCAUGGAACUUCAGGCAGUUAAAUCAAAAGUGUUAUAAGGUUAAUGAAUUCAUUUCAGAAUGUGCCAUAGUUCAAGGUCCUGAAAAAGGGUAGAAGCUUCCAAUUACCUCAUCUCCAGCUUGGCUGAGAGUAGCAUUAUGUGAGCUCCUGAUCAAUGGGCCGGCGCUCCUUCUAGCAUGUGGUGGGGGCGGCGGUCGGCCACGGACCUUCAAUGCGGGAACUGGAUUUAGAAGACAAAGCGAGCUCUUCAGACAGAAUUUCGGAAGAAACCCACAACCGCUGGAAGGAAAAUGCCGCGCAUCAUAAUCGUCAUCUUCCUCCUCUUCCUCAUCAUUCUCAUAGCUCUCCUCUCCUUCUGGCGGCAAUGGUGGCCGCGAAUACUGCAAGUUACUAUUAUAAUUAGGCGUAUGCUGGAAGGGAAGGGGAACCGGCGGCCUCCGCCGGUGAUCUCUGGUCACAACCCUCUCCGGCUGCUUAGGGUUAGCUGCUUUACGAAAAGUGUACUGCGGAGAUCCCGACGCCACGGCUUGGGCGGCGGGCAGGAACCUCCCCAUCAUGAAAUCGCGCGCCAGCAGGUCCUUCGCAAAGCUCUCGCGAGGAGGAUCGGAAGAAGAGUGGGGCAUGCCACUCAGGCCGCUCAUGCUGCAGUUCAUGAAGAAGGACUCUGUUCGCGAUAACGUGUCGCGCGCAUCCGAGAACACAUCAUCGUCAUCGUCAUCAUCACCACCACUAUCACCAUCACCAUCACCAUCUUUCUUACUAUCGGCAUGAAGAGUGCAAUUGUUUGACUCAAUUCUCGGCUGUUCCGGUGGCGGCGGUGGUUGAUCAGUCAUUUCGUCGAACACCUUGUGCGCGCUACUCUCCGCCGGCUCGGGCGAAGCCGUCACCGCCUCAGCAUCGGGAGGCAGCGUCGGAGGCGUGGGGGUGGCCGCGCGGCGGGCGCGGCCGCUGCCGCCGCGCCGGGCCCGUCCUUGGGCUGGCCCGGGCGCUGCUCCCACACGAAGGGGACGACGCCGGGGUUCCGCACCGGCCCCGAUUUCAACUCCGACAUGUACGUCGGAAGCGGCGAUCUCCGCACGCCGUUCGAAGCCGCCGCCGCCGCCGCCGCCGCCAACUCAGCCGCCGCGGGUGGCGGCGCCGCCGCGCCGCUGCCGGAGAAGCGGCGGACGGAGAGGAGCGGGGCGUCGAAAUCGAGGCGCUUGUCCUCCAUCAGGCUCCCCAGCAUCGUCCCCGUCGGAUUCCGAACCCUAGAUCGAACCCAGAUCAACCAAAUCAAGCAAAUCGAAUGCGAAAAAACAAGGUGGAAUCAACGAUAUCUCCCGUGAGAUCGGGUAAAGAUGCAGCAAACGAUCGGCUUUUGAUCGAUUUUGGUGAUGCGAUCGGGGUUAGUGGGGAUUGUUUAGGAACGAAGCGAGCUUCGUCGUUCUCUCUCUAGGAAUUUAGAGAGAGAGAGAGAGAGAGAGAGAGAGAGAGGAGAGUGGAGGGAUCUAUACGUCGGAGGUGUGAGAGUGAGUGCCCGACUGUUACACCAAAUGAGCAUCUUUUUUCUGUGUACCCGUGAUAUAUCACUGUUACACGUAGACUUCUAUCCCCAUGUAGCGUCAAAGUAGGGGAGACAAUUCCGCUCGUGCUCAUAUUCGACUCGAAACGAGUUCGAGAUCGAAUUAUUUAUUUAGUAAACGUGCUAAACACGAGUUGAAUUUUUUAGCUCAUUUUAUAAAUAAGCCGAAUACGAGUUGGAGUCAGUUCGCUCGUACUUGACUCGAUAACAGCUCAAACACACAUAUUUUAUAUAUUUAUAUAAUUUACUUAAUUUAUAUUUAUAUAUAAAUAAAUAAUUAUAUAUAACAUAUAUUUUUAUUAUUUAAUUUUUAGUAAAAUAAAAAUAUAAAUGGGAGCUCAAUUAUAAAAAAAAAUUUAUUUAUAUAUAAAUAUAAAUUAAGUAAAUUAUAUAAAUAUAANAGUAAACAAGCCGAACAUGAGUUGAAUUUUUCAGUUCAUUUAAUAAACGAGCCGAAUACGAUCUCAAUAAUAACUCGAAUACAUAUAUUUUAUAUUUAUAUAUAUAAAUAACAUAUAUUUUUAUUAUUUAAUUUUUAGUAAAAUAAAAAUAUAAAUGGGAGCUCAAUUAUAAAAAAAAAUUUAUUUAUAUAUAAAGUUUUAACUAUUAGAUCAAAAUCUAAUGGAUAAAAUUUUAUAAAUUUUAUAUAUAUAUAUAUCCAAUUUAAUUUUUUUAAUUUAUUUUUUUAACUUUUUGUUCGUUGGUCAGCUUGUGAGUUAGCUCGUGUCGAGCCGAAAUGAAUUUUUUGGCUCGAUACUUUAACGAGCCAGCUCGUGUUUAACUCGUUUAUUAAACGGGCCAAGCACGAGCUGACCCAGCUCGUUCGUGUUCAGCUCAUUAACACCCCUACGUCAAAGUGCAAAUUUCACCACUAGUUCCUAUGCUUUCAGCGAUUUAGUAUUUGACCUUAUACAUCUGGAAUUUAUUUGAAUGACGAAAUAAACUAUCCAAUAAUAAUUUAUUCUACAUAACCGACCGUCCCUAGAGCAAGUGGCAAAGAACUUGGUGGUUGGUAUUCAAGACCCAAGUUUGAAUCUUAGUUGAUUCACAUUUUCAGCUAAGUUUAUUUCUAAAUAAAAUAAACGAAGCAGGUAGCGUGCUACCUAUCUCUAAAAAAAAAACAUAGUAUACUCUUACUAGCCAAAUAAUUUAUUUUAUUUUAAAAAAUAAUUUAAUGAACCAAUCAGAUACUUAUUUAAUAAAAAAAAUUUUAUAUAGGAUUUGGCACAUACAAACAGGAUCUUUAAGUUUGCCAUUUAAAACUCUAAAAUUUGAAAUUAUUUAAAUAGCUCGUAUUCAUAUUUCUUAUUAGGCUAAAAUAUAGGAAAAAGACAUUUGUUUUUUACUCUUUUUUCUUGGGCUUUUAAAAAUUUAUAUUUUAUUUUCUGAAAAUUUUAAGUGAAUGCAUUUAGCUCCUUAAUGUUAUUAACGUUCUAUCACUAUUAUGUCUAUUUCUUAAAAUUUAUAACUGAAUAUACCGAAAAUAUCCUUAAAAUAAGUGAAAUUAUAUUAAAAAUAAUUUUUUCUUAGAACAAGUAAGGACAGUUUAGUUGUUUCAUUUUCUCUGUUAACAUCGUAGCUUUCUGAAAUAUUUCUAAAAUAUAAGAAUAAAAAUUUUUCGCAUUUUAGCGUUAUUAAGAUAAAAUAUUAUCUAUAUCCACCACAUCGCUAUAUUUAUAUGGCAUAUUUUCAUCAAACACUGAUAUUAGAUCUUAUAUUUUAAUUUUAUCAAUUAGGUGCCUAUAGUUUUGCAAUUCUAAAAAAUGCCCAACGGAAAAUGUCGACCUUGAAAAGUUUUAGCACCAAAAUAAAAGUUACCUGUGCUAGCAGUGCUAGGCGUGGCAAUCCAGCCUGUUAUUUGCGAGCCAGCUCGUGUUCGGCUCAAAAUGAGCUCGAAAUCAAACUGCUUAUUUAGUAAACAAGCCGAACAUGAGUUGAAUUUUUCAGUUCAUUUAAUAAACGAGCCGAAUACGAUCUCAAUAAUAACUCGAAUACAUAUAUUUUAUAUUUAUAUAUAUAAAUAAUAUAAAUUUUUAUUAUUUGAUUUUUAGUCCAAUCUAAAUAUAAAGUCCAACUCAAUUAUAAAAAGGUUCAUUUAUGUGUAAAGUUUGAAGGAAAAACUCCAAAAACCCUCCCGUGGUUUCGUAGUUUCUCACUUUGCCCCCCUGUGGUUUAAAAUGUAUCAAUUUGCCCCCAUGUGAUUUCUUUUUUCCCUUUUUCUUAUCAAUUUUAUUAUUUUUUUUUCUUAAAUCAGUGAUAAAGUUAAAAUUAAAGGGUACUAAAGUAAAUAUUUGAUAAAUCUAGAUGAGUAUCUGAAGUUUUUUAUAUAUAAUUUAAUAAAAUAUUAACGAAAAAGAUACCGAAAAGAUAAAAACGAAACCACAGAGGGGCAGUUUGAUAUAUUUUAAAUCAUAGGGGGGCAAAGUGAAAAACUACGAAACCACAGGGGGGGGUUUUUUAAGUUUUCCCAAGUUUUAACCAUUAGAUCAAAGUCCAAUCGGUAAGAUCUCAAAAAUUUAUAUCCUAUAUAUAUCAUUUCUAACCUUUUAACUUAUUGUCCGUGAGUCAGCUCGUGUUCAGCUCGUUAAUAAGCGAGCCGAACAAAAGCUGAAUUUUCAACUCAAUACUUUCAUCAGCCAGCUCGAGGUCGGCUUGCUUAUGAAACGAACUGAAAACGAGCCGAACUCAACUCGCUCGUGUUUAGCUCGUUGACACCCCUAAGUAGUGCUCUUAAUAAAAUAAUAGCUAUAAAAAAAAAUAGAAAGAAAAUAAAAUAAGCUUAUGGAUGAGGUGUCUGAAAGUGGGCUUCUACCUGAAACUUUUUAUGUUUUCAGUGGACUGUUGACCUUGACUGCUAAAAAAUGGAAUCCUACCUAACUGAAUUUCUAGGCCACUAAUCCUACAAAAUUUUAUAAAUAUAAAAUAUCUGUAUUCAAAAUGUUUACUGUAAAAUUAGAUUUAAGCGGUGAAUAAUUUAUCGUUUUCAGAAAGCAAUACUUGUACUAAACUUAUAUAUUUUCUACAUUCGAGCCCUAAAAAUUGUAUAACAUUAAAUAAAAAAUAAUUUAAAAACGGUGAUCAUUUACCGUACAAGACUAAUUUUAAAUAAUUUUUUAAAUAACUAUUUUUAUAAUUUAAUAUUUUUUAAGUUUAUUAAUGGAAAAAAAAACCAACCUAACACCGAUGGACAAGAUUACUAUAUUAGUAGGGGUGAAAACAUAUCGGAUAUGAACGGAUAUUUGAUGAAACCAUAUCCAACUCCCUUUUUUUCUUUUUUUGAAAUGAAUUCACAUACAAAAUAUGUCUGGAAAGUUAAAUUUUUAUUACUAUAUUCACUAAAAAUAGACUCGGAUACAAUCGAAUAUUUCUUUAGAUUCAAAUAUAGAUUGGAAAUGUAUUUAGAUAUUAUUUGAAUGGUAAUAUACAUGACUAAUAUGCACAUAUAAAUAUGAACUAAAAUUACCAACAAUGCAACUAAAGUUUCAUAUUUAUAUCCAAAUUUCUAUAUAUCUAUAUUUAAUUGAAUAAAAUAUAUGAUUUGACAAGCACAAAUGCUAUUUUUAUAUAAAACUUAUAAUAAAAUAAACAAAGCGCACAAAGAAUUAUUUUAUUUUUCUACAAUAUAUUUUAUAUUUUCACAAAAAGCAAUCAAACAACUCCUUAUUUCACCAUAAGUUCUAUUAAACCACCUUUUAUCUCCCAAAAAAAAACAAUAUUUACUCCUUAUCUCCCCACAUAUCAAUCAAAUAAUUUAAAUAGUUAUUUUAUUUUUACAUAUCUAAAAAAUUGAAAACACAAUAUUAAAGCAGGAGAAUGAGAUAUUUGGAUCAAGGGUUUAGAAAAAUAUAAUAUUGUAAUAUAAUUUAAUAUUAUAAAAUAUAAUACUAUUAAAAGAUUCGGAUAUUCAUAUUUAUAUCCAUUUUUUCGUAUAUUUGAAUAAUUUUUAUUUUCUAGAACCAUGCAUAUAUGUGUCCAUAUCCCAUAGAAUCCCGAUAUUUUCUAUCCAAAUAUUAAUAAUAUUAAAUUAGAUAUAAAUGCAACAGUUAUAAUUACGUAUAUUUUGUUUAGUUAAAUAGAAUAGAAAGUGCAGCACUUUUAAGUAUUUUGUUUGAUUAUAUAUGUUGACAAGUGCAUUUAUAGAAUUUUAUUAUUUUAUAGAUAGAAUGAUGAGUUAAAUUCAAAUGCGUAAAAUCAAACGAUAUAUUUGAAUUUGUAUGCAAUUACAACUAUAGUAUAGUUACAAUUAUAUACAAUCAAAGAGGACCUUAAUUAAAAAGAUGGUCAAUGAAUGAUGAUGUUGUAAGAUGUAUGCUCAAAUUUAAUGGGUAAACAAUUAAUGGGCGACAAAAAAAGGGAAGUUAAACUUACCUUCAAAGGUUAAAACAAACACCCUUUUUGAUUAAAAAAAAAAAAAAAAAGUAAGCUCAAUUUAGAGAAUCUGCUUCAACCACACUCAUCAACCACUGAGAAUGGAUAAAGUAGAUCUUAAAAAAUAAUAAUAAUGGUAUUAUUAACUGGUUGACCAUAAUUAUUUUAGUUUUUAUUUACCAUUAAUUUAAGUUUUUAAUAUUUAUAAAAUUAGCAAAUUUCUAAUCUUAUUGACUAUAAUUAUUAAGUAAAAAUAUGAAAUAUAUAUAUUGUAAUCAAUUAAUUGCUAAAAAUAAAUCUAGUAGUAAUCCUAGCACUCCUAACACUCCUCUUCUAAUCCUACAUUGUAAAUAAAAAAAAAAAGAAAAAUAGGCUAUCAGGUACCACAACAACCUUUGUCUUUAGAUAUAAAUCCUUUUUCUUUUGUUUAUUGAUGUGAAGAAGAUUUUGGAUCCUAACCAAUUUGUCUAAUAUAUAUAUAUAUAUAUUCCUAAUAAGGUCCUAUUUGUAUUGCGAUUCAUUUAAUAAUAGCAGGCAAAACAGAAUUGGGGCAAAAACGACAAAAAAAAAUAUAUAUCAUACUAGCUAAUUACGAUAAACAGAUCAUAAUAUUACAUACAAAAAUGAAAAUAAUAUUUUUUGUCGUUUUUUCUCGUCACACGUAACGUAAUUUCUCUCGUAAUCACAAACAAAGCCUAAAUCAGUUAGAUUUGGACAAUCUCCAUGGAACAAAUCAAGAAUUAAGCUAACUUAGGUGAGAGAGAAAGCCAAUGUGGUGUUUUGUGUGGUCACCACAAUUGUUACCUAAUGCUAUUAAAGAGCUAGCUACCAUGCAAUGCAUUUAUGCAUUUUGUUUCCCAACCAAAGGAGAGAAGAACAAGAUUGGCACUAUCCUGAAGCCUGUGUGGCAAGUUGAAAUUUAGCAAUCAAAUGGUUCAUGUGUUGGCAAUCUGAUACGCGCUUUAAUACUAAAUUUUGAGAAUUCGCAAUUCACUUUGAUGCCAACUGCUAUAAAUUCGGUACUCGGUCUAGUAUCUGUCGUUGAGAUUGUGCAACGAAAUUAUGAAAUCAAAUUUUUAUCAUAAAUAUGUUUCUUCAGCAAAAGCUAGGGGUGUAAACGCACGAAACAGCUGGCUCGUUAACAGAUAUCGAGCCGAAAAAUUUAGCUCGUGUUCGGCUCGUUAUUAACGAGCCGAACACAGAUGGCUACGAGCUGGCCAGCGAAUAAUAAAUUUUAAAAAAUAUUAGAUUAAAUAUAUAUAAAAAAUUAAUUUAUAAAAUCUAUCUAUUAGACUUUGAUCUAACAGUGCAAACUUUAUAUAUAAAUGAGUUUUUUAUAAUUAAGCUCGAGUAUAUAUUUUAUUUUGCUAAAAUUUAAAUAAUAAAUAUAUAUUAUAUAUAAUUAUUUAUUAUAUAUAAAAAUAUAAAUUAAUAUAAAUUAUAUAAAAUAUUAAAUAUAUGUUAUCGAGCUGUUAUCGAGCCGACACGAGCAGAGCUGACCCAGCCUCGUGUUCGGCCUUUUAUUAAACGAGCUAAAAAUCCAGCUCGUGUUUCGCUUUACUAAACGAGUGAGCCGAUCUCGAGUCUCAUUUCGAGCCGAACACGAUGCUGCUCUGCGAACAGCGAGCUGAUUGCAUCCCUAGCAAAAGCUGAUCAAAAGAAGAAUUAUAUAUAUAUAUUUUAAUAUAAAAUAGCUUCAAUCUAAACUAUCUUUCUGAAUCACUUUCAUCCUUCUAUCUUCUUCUAUAAAUUCUAGAAGACUUAUCUUUUUUUCCGCCAUGCAUGCGUAGCCAACUCUCUCUCAAAUUUGGACCACCACCGGUUAGCCAUACACCACCCAAGUACAUCAAUAGCUAUUCAAAUCCAACUAGGAUUCAACUAUAGAUUUAUCCAAAUCCUGACAAUGUACAUGUACAAUAGUCGGAUAAAUAAAAAAUAAAAAAAUAAAAAGAACUAGUAUUCAAAUGCCUCUGAUAUAAUCCUCUGCGACAUUAACUCUGAACGAGCGAUGCAUAGUUGUUGAAAAUUGAUGGAUCGUUCGCCAUGCGCUACCAAUACUGAUGUACGAAAACAGAAAAAUCGAACGGUGAGAGAAUAAAUACAGAAAGAAGGUACCAAAAUUUACACCUACGUGCACAGCGAGAGUAAGAAUAACAAACUCACGCCUUAUAUCUUCUCCGAAUCAAAACCAAGAAUCUUAUGAGGAAUCUCAUCUUUCUGUUGUUUUAUCAGAAAACUCAUCAUCAUAAAUAAGAAGACUAAAUUAGAGAAAUAUAUAAACCUCCGACCAAAUUCUAAAUGCCGUUGCUUUGAAGGAUCAGAACCGCUCAGACAACUAGUUAAGAACCACCACUUCGCUGCCGACCUCGAACAUGACGCCGCAUGAAAGUUGUCGAACCUCACGAGAUGCCUCUCUCUCUCUCUCUCUGCUUCACGAGGUUUGUGUUGGGCCGUAUGCUAAUUAAUUAGCUAGAUUUAAUUUCCUAAACUAAUCCAAUUCCAAGUCAACUCGAAUUAGGAGAGAGCCCAAGCCCGAGUCUAAUUAAAAAAUUAAUCUCAAAGCUCUACCUGGACCAAACAAAAAAAAAAGGGGCACAACUUAAACACGUAAGCGCGCGCACUAAUCUUGAGAUAUUUUUAAUUUUUUUAGGGCUUAAGAAUUUUGAAAUUGUACACUGUCACGGCCUGUUAAUAGAGAAGGCGAGAUCGGUACACAUUUCACGUGUCGCUUGUCAGACUCGCUCUCGCGGGAAAAAUUCUAAAAUGCACCACUUAUAUUACUGAUGUGGCACCUUUAAUGAAUUAAGAAGUUUUUCUAAAAUUUAUCGAUCCCAUCAUAAUUUUUUUAAAAAUAUUUUUAUUAUUUUUUAAAAAAUAAGAGAUAUGGUUUAAUUAAACUUUCUAUCAUAAUUUCUAUCAGUUUCCAUAUAUAUAUAUAUAUAUAUAUUCAAGCAUGAAUCAAAUAAGAGGUAAAUUAAACUUUUUGGUCCUCAAACUAUGAGGCGUGUAACACUUUAGUCCUCUAAUUUUAAAUAGUUGUAAUUUUUGAUUCGAACUAUAAGGCAGUGACACUUGUAAACCUCAAACUUUCUGAAUUGCUGCAAUCAAGUUUUACAACCGAAUUUUUUUUAAUACGAAUUAGUAAAUUAAUUACUAACAUAGAAGAGGCGCAAGAUUUUAAUUAUUGCUACAAUUCAGAAAUUUUGAGAACUAAAUUGUCACAUAUCUUCUAGUCCUGAGCCAAAAUAUGUUAUGAAUUAAAGUUUGAAAAUUAAUGUAUCACAUGCCUCAUGGUUCAGGUCAAUAAUUGCAAUAAUUAAAAUUCGGGGGCUAAAGUGUCACAAUGCUCGUAGUUUGAGGACGAAAAAUGUAAUUUACCCAUCAAACAAAUCUAUUUAUUCUACAUGCAUGUGGAAAUUCUGAGAAUGGUAAAGCUAGAAUGCUUCUAAAAAUAAACAAGGUUGUUUACUUUCGUGUUGUUUCCGCUAGGGAAUAUCCGACCAAACGAUCAAUAGUUUAAAUAUGAUCUUGGCUAUCUGAAUUUUCUAUAAAUUUUAUAAAUAUUUUUAAUAUCAUUUGUCAUGUGAUCAAGUGAUCUCAAAUUCAUCUAAGCCACUAAAAAUAGUCAAUUUUAAGACUAUUUGAAUAUUAAGAUAAAUAAUAUAGAAAAAUCAUGAAAUGUAGAAAAUUUAAAUAAUCUAGAUCAAAUUUAAUGAUGCCAAUCACCAUUUCGAAUGUCUCAUUUUUGAAAACGAUGCAAAACGAAUUAACUAAUGCUACAUGUACAUUUCUAGAUACCCAUCAUAAGGCCCAAAUUUUGGCUCGACUUAUUAUUAUUAUUAUUAUAUCACUUUGUCAAUAUCCGUGUUUUCAUUUUUUUCUCCUAACUUUUAAAAACAUAUAUUUUGCUCCCUUAAAAAUUGAGAAAUGUUCACUAUGAGUCUAUGACCCCCAGCGUUAAAAAUCUGUUAGGGUGCUGUUUAUGUCAUAUUAUUAUAUAUUUUUUAUACACAAAAUACUUUCGAAAUUCUCGUCUUAUAUGCGCCUCCUCACCGACGUCUUCAGCUGCGCUACCUCGCCCUCCUCCGCCACCUCGUCCUUGCGCACCCUCUAUCCGUGCCCACACACACACCCACGCCCUCGCCCUCCUCCGUCGCCUUGCCUUAGCCUACCUCUCCUUCCAUGCCCAUCCCGAUCUUCUUCCUACAAUUGCCGAAAUAGAGGGGUGACGAGUUUGCUGGAGGAGCGGGGGAGCAGGCGAAAAAAAUGGAGUCGGAGUUGGGGUCAAGGGAAGGGAGAAAGACAGAGAAGGAGAGGCUGCGAAUGAGCAAGAUUGGGGAGGAGACGAAGAGGAUGAGAGAUAAUUUGGUCAUUUGGUUAUCACAGUUAAGACCGUACUCUUCUGUGAAUAUUUUUUAUUUUUUAAGGAGGCAUAAUGUAGAUUUAUAAAUGAGAUAAGUGAAAAAUCAAAUUUUGCCCAGGGAUUUGCUGUAAUUUAGCCCUUUUUUUUUCUAUGAAGACCUAAAAGAUUUUUGUAAAUCCUAAAACUGAGAGCAUAUAAGAUUUACACCUAUAUAUAAGUAUACCGGCUAUAUUUUCCAAAAGAAAUGUCUAGUGUACUUCUCAAAGUAUUCUAACUUUAAUGUUGUGAGCAUGGCUAUUAUUGAGAGAGUUAUUUGCAAGAUUAACAACAACAGGAGUUUAUAAGAAAAUAUAUAAUAAUUUUUGGCCCGGCACGGCCCGGUCUGGCCCAUUCGUAAAGAGGCCCACCUAUUUAUAGGCCCAAACACUUUGCUGGUCUAAGCUUAGCACACAAUUGAAGUGCAAACAUUUUAUUAUUCAUGAUCACAACAAUAUUCUUUUUUUUGUUCUUUCUCUUGCUUUACAAGAUUAUGACUAAUUCAUUAUUUUCUUUUUGAGUAAUUGUUGCACGCAUAACUUUUUAUUGAAAAAUAAAACUUGAUUUUGUCAAAGUUCCUAAAAAUAUGAAUUAUUCUUUUCUAACUAGAUCGACUAGAGCACUCAAACUGUUCGUUGACGCAAAAGAAUUUUCUUUUUUCCACCAUCACCUAUCCUUAAAAACUAGUUAAGGAGCCUGCGCGAUGUGGCAGAAAAACAAUACAACAGUAAGUUAUUAAAUUAUUAGCAUCACUUUUUUCUAUUAUGCAUUAAUAUUUUUAAAUAUUAUUUAUCUCAGUAUUGAAUAAUUAAAAAUUAAAAAAUAAAUUAAAGAAUGAAAUGAAAGUAUAUUUUUUUUAUAAAAAUAUAUAAACUUAAUAAGUUAAAUGAAUAAAUCAGUUUAAAAUCAAAAUAAAAGCUCAUUACAGUAUUAAAAAAGAUAAAUAAUAUUUUUCUAUUAUCAUCAAGAUAGAAUUUAUAAAUAAAAAAUAUAAAAAAUUAAUUGGAGUGCAAGUACUAUUUUUACUAUUCUUGACGGCAACGUCUUUAUUGUGUCCUCGUUAACUUUUAUUGUUACACGUACAACUAAUAAAGAAUAUAAUUCAGAUUAAUAGUAUACGAAUUAACAAAAUAUUACUCACAUGAACUAAAUAAUAUAAUUUAACUGGAGAACAAAACUAAUAGCAUAAAAACAUCCAAGAAAAAAAAAUCAAAAAUUGAAUUCUCUCAUUUCAAGAUAGUAAUUUGUUACUUUUGAAAAAAAUAAAAAAAUAAUUAAAAUUAUCAAUCAAGCAUCAUGAGUCAAUAAUCACAAUUUGAAGAGUCUUAAUUCAUAUUUGAAUAUGUGAAUAACCCAAUAUACAAAACACGAUUACAUUGCUAAAGGUCUUAUCAUAAUUUUUAUUAAAAGUAAAAAAUUAAAUGCAUUAGAUGCAACUUGCUAAUGGCCUACUAUCUUGUAUCUACUCUUAUGUAGCAAACUAUCUGAGAUGAUUAAANGUCUUAAUUCAUAUUUGAAUAUGUGAAUAACCCAAUAUACAAAACACGAUUACAUUGCUAAAGGUCUUAUCAUAAUUUUUAUUAAAAGUAAAAAAAAAAAUGCAUUAGAUGCAACUUGCUAAUGGCCUACUAUCUUGUAUCUACUCUUAUGUAGCAAACUAUCUGAGAUGAUUAAAAAAUAAUAAAUCAACUUGAUAGAUCAAACCUAAUUGUUCUCAUUUGUCUAAAUUUAAAUAAAAUUUAAAUUACAUAUUUAAAUUGUACAUUAAAAUUUUAAUUCGAAUGCAAAUUCAAAUAUCAAAAUAAAAAUAAAAAAAUUAAGUUUGAAAUCAAAAAUUAAAAAAUUUAAGUUUGAAAUCAAAUUUUAGAUUCAAUUUAAAAUUCAAAUUUAAAAUUUGAAUUGAAUUCUAUUUUAAAUAUGUUAUCGAGUACUAUAUUUAUAUAGUCCGGCUGAAGUACUAUCGAUGCCACCAAGAAUUUGGUGCUAUCGAGUUUUCUACCGUUAGAUUUAACCCUUUGAUUAUUUUUACCCGUUAAAUUAUACUAUUCAACCAACCACUUACUCAACCCUAGGGGGUCCACAUCAUCCUAACCACAAAUUUCUCAAUCCAAGGGCUAAAAAAUCAAUAGCACCAAUAGCUUGGUGCUAUUGAUAGUAUUCCAGCUUAGUUAUAUAUAUAUAUAUAUAUAUAUAGGCUACUAUACUAUCUAUAGUACCGNCAAACUUGAUGGGUGAUUAGAAAGUUAGGAGCACAAGGGCUGCUGUCCUCCUAAUAGCAUAGUAGUCCUACUUAUAUAUAUAUAUAUAUAUAUAUAUAUAGGCUAAUGCUACUAUCCUAUUAAUAGGAUAGGAGCACUUGUCCUAUCAAGUUGUUCUUGACGAUCGAGAUUCCGAAUCGAUGAUCAGAGCCGUUGAAGUUGAUCUAGAGUAUUUGAAAUAUCUAGAAACUAAAUUUCAUAAAUUUUGAUAAUGGUUUACAUGGUGAUCAAAGUGUCGUAAAAUCGAUAAUUUUUGACGGCCUAUAUGAGCCGUUUGCUUGUUUAACGGUGUAGAGCAAUCCAAAUUGCUUGAAUUUUUGAUAGAAAAUUCUUUAUACUAUUUAGAUAAUGUUUGAUAACUCUGAUUACGAACUGAGAAAGUCUAACUAACCUCUAUUUUAAAAAGGUUAUUCAUUUAUGACUGUUCAUUUUUCAACUCUUAAGAUAAACUUGAUAAUGAUUUUAAAAUAAUACAAAAUUUGGUUUCUAAACCUUUCUAAUUGUGUAGAUCAACUUCAACGGUGCCGAUUAUCAAUUUGAAGUUCCGAUCAUUCAAAUCAACUUGAUAGGACAAGAGUCCCAAUCCUAUUAAUAGGAUAGUAGCCGGACUAUAUAUAUAUAGAGUUGGACUGGGUUACUAUUAGUAGCAAAAUUCUAUUGUUGCUACCAGUUUUUUAGCCUUUGGAUCAACUCUUUUCAUUAUUUCUAACCGUUGGAUUAAAUACUAUAACCCAGUGGGGACCACUCAAUUCUAACCGACUAAUAUCAUCUUGGCCCUACAAUUUUUCAUCCAAGGAUUAAAACCUUGAUAGCAAAAAGAAUAUUUUACUAUUAAUAGUAUUCCAGCAUAAUUCUAUAUAUAUAUAUAUAUAUAUAAUUAAAGAGGGAGAGAGAGGUCUACUAAACUCUCUCUCUUAGGCGGUCCACGAGAAGAUGAAGCCCACCUCGUGGACGCGUGCAAAAAUGCUAGUGAACCCCACCAUUUUUGGUGGGCCCCACUGCGGAGAGGCAUUGUUGGUUCCCAAUUCAUAAAUUUAUAAAUAAAUUGCAUUGUUCUUUUUUUUUCUUUUUCUAUAAGGUGAAGCUCCCCCUUUUCUUCUUCUUCUUCUUAAUCUUCUCCUUUAAUUUUCUUCCGGCUUUUUCAAAUUUCUUUGGUACUCCGGCCAAGAAAAAAAAAUUGAGUGAGAAAAUUUCCAACUACGCUUCCUUGGGAGCCCGCAAUCCGCAUAUUAUUUAUGCUUCUAUCAAAGAAUGAUAAUCCUUCUCUUUAGGUAGCGUUUGGUUCGGGUAUAAGUAAGAACUAGCUAUUACAGGGAUAGGUACAAGUAUGGGGAUAAAAAAAAUAGCGUUUGGAUAAAAAUUAGGUUGUUGCCGGGGAUAAGAAAAAUAGCGUUUCAAUAAAUAAUAUGGAAUAAGAAAAAUAGUUGAUAAUUAUAUAUAGAAAAUAGAGGUGUUGGUGGGGAUAGUAAUACUGGUUAUUUUAGGUAUCUGAAAAUUACUAUUCUCGGAUAAAAAAUUUGCGUUUGGGUAUAAAGGGGAUAAGUGGUUAUCCCUCUCCUUAUCCCCAAUCCAAACACUGCCUUACGUUUUUAAAAAAUCUAAAAUUUUGGUAUUAAAAAAUACCUGCAAACAUAGUGAAUGACAAAUAUAUCUCUACAAAAUUCAACUUUUAUAUCUUAUCCCCGCAAAAGUUCAGAUAUUUUCAAAUAUAUUUAUCAGGUUUGUUACUGUCAGAAAACUAUUUAUAUUUUUAAUUUUGCCAUCACAAAUAUGUCCCUCCAAAAGUCAUAACAGUGUAAUAUAAGCGGAGUAAAAAUGUCAAAAAUUAACCAGGAUUAAGUAUUUAACCUAUUAUUAACUAAAUUUUUCUAACGGAUUCUAACUGUAGGGAUAUAUUUGAAAAUAUAAAAAUUUUACAAAAAUAAUAUAUAAAAAUUAAAUUUUAUAAAAAUAUAUUUAUCAUUCAUUAUAUUUAUAAAAAUUUGUAUAAAAUUAACUUUAAAAUUAAGAGUAGGACUACUAUGCUAUUAGGAGCACAACAAUCUUUGUGCUCCUAACUUUCUAAUCAUCCAUCAAUUUUGAUGGAUGAUUCGGACGAGAUAGAGAAUAGAAAUUCAAAUAGAAGAAAAAUUAAGACACCCAAUUUCUUUCCAAUUUUUCUUCGCUUUUUCAUUUUAACCAUCCAUCAAAUUAAUAAAUAAUUAAAAAAUUAAAAGCAUAUAAAAAUUACUGUACUCAUACAGUAGUCCUGCUCCUAAAAUUAAUAUAUAGUCCUGCUCCUAAUGUUUUGGGACAGUCCCUCCCCGCUGAAAUUUUAUCCUGCCUGCUGCUGCAGCUGAAAUUUUAUGCCCGAGACGAGAUCUGCGGGAUCUGCUGGGGAUUGCUGGCGAUGAUGAUGGACGGCGAUGAUGGAGACGGCGAUGGGACGUCUGGAUGGGAUUGCCGGCGAGUGUGUGGACGGGCGUUGCGUGGCGGCGCGAUUCGCGGGAUUUCUGCCACAUCGUGCGGCACGAAGAGGGAGGGAGAGGGUAGAUAAAAUAGGUAUUAAGUGCUUCAAAUGAGGUUAAAAUACCAAAAAAAGGAAAAAAAAAAAAAAGAAAAUGCUUGUUUUGCUCUUUUUUUUUUUCUUUUUUUUUCUAUUUUUUUUUAAGGUACCUCUAAAAAUGUAUAUUUUAUUUUUUAAAAAAAUUUAAAAAUAUUUUUAGAAAAUUGUGAUAUUAAUAAAAAGAAUAAAAUGAUCAAAUUAUUUUUAUUAGUUGUUUCCACACGCUAUUCUUAUUUUAAAAAUUUUAAAUUUAAAAUUAAAAUGUAAAAAAAUUUAAAUUUAAAUUAAAAGUUUUAAAUUUUAUAAUUUUAAAUUCAAAAUGUAAACUUUAAAAUUUUAUAUUUUAAAUUUAAAAUUUAAAAUUUUAUGCGUUAAAAUUUAAAAUUAAAAUUUGAUACUUUAUAUUUUCAAAUUUAAAUUUGAUCUUGAAUUUAAAGUUUGAAAUUAAAAAUUAUUAAUUUUGAAUUUAAAGUUGAAAUUUAAAAUUUAUAAUUUUGAACUUAAAAUAUGAUUUUAAAUUUUAAAUUUUAAUUUAAAAAUAUAAGUAUAAAUUAAAAAUUCAAAAUUCAAUAUUAUGAGAGUGGUAAUAAUUAUUUUUAUUUAAAUUAUUUACUAUCCUAUUUAUUCUAUAUUUAUUUUUAUUCUCAGGAGAAUAAACUAAUUUUUAUCCACACGCCAAAAAUUGGUAUUUUAUACAUUGUUUCUGAAACAGGCAGUUCUUAUUUUAUCCGAAAUCAAAUGAUACAUAUGGUAAUAUAUGUAGUUUUUGAAAGUCAGAAAAGAUAAUUGAAAAGAUGAGUAUUAUCAAGAGUUUUCUAUAUUUUAGCCUUAAAAUAAUUAGGAGUACUAAGUUGAUCAUAAUUUCACGGGUGUGUAAAUAUAAAGAAAAAAAAAUGUACACUUAUCUAAACUAUAAGACCAUCUGGAUUUUGCUAUCCAAUAUUUCGAAAUUUUUAAAUUUAUUAUCCGAUUUUUUAAUUUGUUUAAUUUCAAUCAAUCAACGAUAGUUUUAAUUUUUAAAAUUUAAGUAAUUAAUAUACGAAUUUAUAAUGUCGAUAAUUGCAGUAAAAUAUUGAUUAAAUCUGUAAAGAUAAAUAAUCCAUUCAAAUUGUAAAUUCAAACACUCGUUCACUGAUUCAAAUCAAAAAUCGGAAAAACAUAUAAUACCAUCCUAUGGUUUCACACUUUUUCACUUUAGUGCCAUGUGGUUUAAAGUGUAUCAAUUUAGUGCCCUAUGGUCUUCAUUUUUAUCUUUUUUAUAAUCAAUUCCACUAAUUUUUUUUGUUAAAUUAGUGACAAAGUUAAAACUAAAGGUACUUAAAGUGAAUAUUCGAUAACCUAGGUGGAGUAUCUAAAGUUUUUUGUUGUAAUUUAACAAAUAUUAAUGGAUAAGCUUGAUGAAAAGAUAAAAAUAAAACCACAGGACUACUAACUUGAUAACACUUUAAACCACAUGUACUAAAAUGAGAAAAUACAAAACCGACAUGAAGGGUAUUUAAAGUUUACCCAUAAAAAAAACUGAAAUAUGGAUAGUCAAAUCAAAUGUUUAAUAGUUCAGAUAAGUCGUAUACAUUUUUACCUUAAAAAUAAUUAGCACGCAUAUAGAGUAUAUUUUUAGGGAUGUAUAUAUAUAUAAAUUGAGCUAGAAUACUUUUAGAAGCUAUCAAUCUGUUGGUGCUUCUAAGUUUUUAGCCCUUGGAUCUACUCCUUAAUUACUAAUACCCUUGAUUCAAACACUAUUCCAACUACACCACCUACCACCAGCUGCACUAUCAUCAUCAACCAUCUACAUUCUUCCAUCACAUGUAAAAACGUUAAAAAGCACCAACCCCGUGGUGCUUUCUGAAGUAUUCUAGCUCAACUAUUAUUAUAUAAUAUAUAUUAUAUAUAACUAUAUAUAUAUAUAUAUAUAUGAAAUAGGGAUUAAGGUAUUGGUGCAAUUUCAAGUAUAAUCUUCUAAAACUCCAAAAUAUCCAAAAUAUAAUAGAUGCUCUUUCUAGAUCUAAAAUAUCGUCAAUCUAUAUAUCUAUACCUUAUCUAUACCUCUAUAUCUUCUACACAUUAUUUUCUCUAAAUUUGUCACAUGGCAACGUUCGCUUUAUUGUUGGGUGUGGGCUCCACCCCGAACUUGCUCAAAUCCAUUUUUGUCUUUCUUUACUUGAACCAAACCGAAAUUUUAUCUUUCUUUGCUUGAACCAAUCCAAUUAUUAUUGAGUGUGGGUUCUCCCAAACCGGCUCAAGUCCUCCACAUAUUUUUUUCUUUUUUUUCUUGAACCUAACUGGGUUUUCCUUUUUUUUUUAUUAAACCGAACCGGAUCACACCUCUACAUUGGACCGAACUAUUCCUAUUCCACUUUUUUUGGCUAUUACCUUCAUUCAUCGGCAAGAUGAAUCUCACUCCUUAUCGUCACUUCUUCCAUCGCCGUUUCCUCUUCCUUUGUCGUCAUUUUCUACUUUUUUUCUAAUUAUCUACUCGUCGCAUCACACAGAUUACUACAUUAGUCUAUAUCUAUAUAUUAUAUAUAUCUAAAGUGGGUGGGAGAAGGUAUAGAGGGGGCACAUGGACACAUAUUAUAUUAGUUAAUUUAGUGCACCCGGUGCACCAUAAACCAUACUAAGUGGGUGGAGGAAGAUGGGAAGGGACACAAGUUGUGUCGGUUAAUUCAGUGCACCUGGUGCACUAUAAAAGGGUAAAUUGUAUUGUUACCUGAACUUUUGGCGAAGUUUCACUUUACCCCUCGAAUUCUAAAAUAGACAUCUGACACCCUAAACUCUAAUAUUUCAUUCACGUUACUCCUUCCAUCAGUUUUCCGUCAAGCUCCGUUAACCAGAAACUGACGGAAGGGGUAAAACGAAUGAAAUAUUAGAGUUUAGGGUGUUAGAUGCCUAUCUUAGGAGUUUAGGGGGUUAAGUGAAACUCGCCAAAAGUUCAGGAGGUAACAAUGCAAUUUAUCCCGACUAUAAAUUAUUUUUAUAUUAAAAAUUUUUAAUUGGCUGAAAUGAAGUACACAAAUUUUAUUUAAGUGUAUUUUCUAGAGCAAUACUUAUAAAGAUAAAAGAGACAAACAAGUACUACAGAAAAUUAACUGAAAAUUAAAAUAUCUAUAUCCGAGUGAGGUCGCCUAUUGUAAAGCAACCAUAUUAGUGAGUACGCCAGGAUAGUAGAGUGUUCGAGCAUCGUAGGUAAUUAGUAUCACUAUUUUUUUAUCUUUAAGCCACUCUAUUCAUUUCUUUCGCCUUUAUUUUAUUACAAUAAAAUAUAGAAUAAAUUAUGUUAUGAUUUAUUUUAGAAUAAAAAAUAUAUAUAAAUUCAAAAUCAAGUAUGAUCACUAACUUGAGGAUUAGUAAUAAAUUAUGUUAUGAUUUAUUUUAGAAUAAAAAAUAUAUAUAAAUUCAAAAUCAAGUAUGAUCACUAACUUGAGGAUUAGUAGUCAAUCCAUAAGUAAAAUAUUAUAAUAAAAUAAUUUAUAGUCAAGAGUCCUCAACGGGGUAAAUUGCACUACUACCUUUUGAACUUUUAGCGAGUUUCAUUUAACUCCCCAAACUCCUAAAAUAGACAUUUAACACCCUAAACUCUAAUAUUUCAUUAAUUUUACCCCUUCCGUCAGUUUCUUGUUAACGGAGCUUGAUGAAAAACUGACGGAAGGGAUAAUAUGAACGAAAUAUUAGAGUUUAGGGUGUUAGAUGUCUAUUUUAAGAGUUCGAGGGGUAAAGUAAAACUUCGCGAAAAGUUCAGGGGGUAACAAUACAAUUUACCUCACUAUAAAACAUAACCAAAUAUCAUAAACUUUAAUUAAUUAAUAAACAAAAAAAUUAUCUAUUAUCUAUUAUCUAUUAUCUAUUACUAUAUACUAAAGUGCGUGAGAUUCUUCUUUUAUUGACGUGUCCGGCUCAACUACUCAGUACACCCGAUGCAUCGUAGACCGUUGAUUAUCGACAUAUGUAUGGUCUAUGAAGGUCUAUGAAAAAAUCUUAGGUGCAUCUGAUUUAUUUCUAUCUAUUCUUUCUUCUACAUUAAAAAAGGGUUUGAGGAUGACACGUAUCCCCCAAAACCCUCACCUCCUCUCACUCCUUACCUAUAUAUAGAUAGGGUUUUAAAAUUUUAUAUUAUAAAAUUCUAAAUUUUGGAUAUCGAAAUUUUAAUUUAUUCCUAAAUUUUCAACUUUAAAAUUUUAAAUUUUAAAUCCUAAACUAUAUAGAAUUUUGAGGUAUUUUUCUAAAUUGCUUUAAUUCAUUGUCCACAAACUACUAAACCAAUGAGAAUACACAUUCAUUUUUUGUCAUUUAUCUAUUGUAAGUCCAAAUUUUAGAACAAAUUAAAUCUUUUCACGUUGGUGCUUAAUUGUGGUAAAUUUAAAAACUUCUUACAAAAUUAAAUACAUGUUCAUAAAUUCAAAAAAAAUUAUAAAGUCAGUCAAUUAAAAACCUACGAAUCAAAUAACUACUUUUUAUUUUAUCAUAAUAUUUUCAAUUCUCGAUAUUGCUUGCAUGGGUCAACAAAGUUACAAAAAUGAUCUGAAUAGAGUUAGAAGAAUAAGAAUUUAAAAAACACAAAAAGAUGAUAUGUAUUUUUUAAAACAAACUGGCGUAAAAAUAAACAUGUUACAAACUCUUCCUUUUUACUUCUGAAAAUUUUGAAAGUUUACGGAAUCUCAAGAAUCUAAAUUUAAACUAUAAAAUAUCUAGAGACAAAAUCUGUAACAAAAUUUUUUAUUUUGAAAUCAGAUAUUGAUACAAAAAACAAGGCCAUCGUACCCGCAACAAAGCGCGGGUACAUCGCUAGCAUUCUUUUAAAACACAAAAAUAAUUAUCCCAUUAAACAUAGAAAUCUAUCGCAAAUAUCCUCCUAAACUUCAAAAUCUUAGCCUAAACCCUAAACCCUGUUGUAUAUACAAGGACGGCAAUGAUAUUUUACACUUUGAGGGGUAUUUAUGAAGUUACCAGUUUGUAGAGGACAUUAAAUUAUAUGUGUGUGAGUUACAUAGUUCUUAGGCUUAGUUUGGUAUUAAGGCCUAUCUAACGCUAUUUGAUAAAAUGGAGUUGUGAAAAAAGCAUAUAGGGAUAUGCUUUUGCGUUCUCCAGUGGGAUCGCAGAAAAUAUAGCGUAACCGACUCAUCGUGAUAUGCGGAACGCAAUAUUACGUACGGAAACAAACAUGGUAUUUUUCCAACGUACUUUCUCACCGCACGUAACGCAAUCUCCCGGCAAUUCCGAACGAAGCCUUACACGAUGGGUAAAGUUUAGGGUUAAUUUCAUACAGAUCCCUGCAAACAUGGUGAAUAGCAGAUAUAUAUUCCUGCAAAAUUCAACUUUCAUAAGUUAUCUCUGCAAAAGUCCAAUGUAUUCAGAUAUAUCCCUACCGUUAAUACCCGUUAGAAAAAUCUAGUUAACCACACUUAGGGCGUGUUUGGUUCGAAGUCGGAGUCGGAAUCGGAAUCGGAAUCAAAAUAAGUUGGAAUCGGAAUUGGAAUGACUCAUUACCUAAUUCUGUUUGGUUCAUCACCUGAAUCGAAAUCGGAAUAAAUCAUUCCCAUUGUCGGUGUUUGGUUCAGAUGGAUAUAAAAACAUAAUCAAAUGAAUAUACUAACAUUAUCUUUAUAAUAUAUUAAUUUAAAUUUAAAUUAAAAUUAAAUAUUAAAAAUUUACAUCAAAAUUUUAAACUUAAUAGGUGAGUUGAAGUUUCAAAUUAAAAAAAAUUUUUUUUAUCUAAAUUUUAAAACUGUAAUAAAGNNNNNNCUUUGAAGUUGAGUGGAUAAUUCAAAAUAUGAAACUAAAUUUUGAUUUAUUCAAAUUCAAACUUAAAAUUAUAAUUUAAAUUUUAAUUUGAAUUCAUAAAUUUAAUUUAAGUUUGAAAAAAAAAUGAAUAAACUUUAUAUAAAUUAAAAUUUAAUUUAAAUUCAAAUUCAUAAGUUAGAUUCGAAAUACUUGAUUAAAUUUUAAUUUUUAAUUUAAGUUCAAAUUAAAAUUUAAAAUUAUAUAUUUAAUUUCUAAAUUUUAACUCAUAUUUUAAUUAAAAAAGUUGAAAAAAUAAAUUUAAUCCAAAUAAAUAUCUAUUCCGCCCGAAUUCAACUUUCAAUCCGGCCUUCUAGGCCGGAUUGAAAAAAUGGUGAUUGAGCGAUUCCCAUUCCACUCGAAAAUCGGAAUCGGAAUGGGACUCCCACGUACCAAACACCCACAAACGGAUUCACUCAUUCCCAUUCCGAUUCCAUGGUGAAAAAGAAGCGAACCAAACACGCCCUUAAAAUAUUUAACCAUGAUUAGUUAAUAAGGUAAAAUGAUAUUUUUACCUUUCUUCCUCUUCCCCUUCCUCUUCUUCUUCCUCUUCCUCUCCUGCUUCUUCUUCUUCCUCUUCCAUUUUGUAUCCUCAUUUUCCUCCUCUUUUUCUCCUCCUCCUUCUUCUUCGUCGUCUUCGUCGAUGAUCCGAUCGUCGUCGCCGUCGUGGUGCCCGCGUGGGCCGUCGUCACGGGCGCCUCCGACGUCAUCGACUGCGCCUUGGCCUUCCGCUUCUUCCUUGUCCUCGUUGGCCGCAAUCCCGACAAACUCCGCAAGGUGGCCGUCGCCGCCGUCCGCUCCCACAACAUGAAGAGGAAAAGGAAGAUGAAGAGGACAAGGGCAAAAUAGUCAUUUCACAACUCUACUGUUAAAAUAUUAACAGUUCUCUAACAUAUCUAAACCAGAGGGACAUAUCUGAAUACAUUAGGGUUUUUGCAGGAAUAACUUAUGAAAGUUGAAUUUUACAGGAGUAUAUCUGCUAUUCACCAUAUUUGCAGGGAUCUAUAUGAAAUUAAUCCUAAAAUUUAAAUCUAAGAGACCAAAAAUUAAGAUCUAAACUAUUAAAUAUGAUAAAAAAAUAAAAAGAAUGUCUGUAAAGUUUUAUAAAUAUUAAAAAUUAAUUUCUUAUAUAUCGAAUGAUGUGAAACGAAGAAUCCAAAAUUUUCUGGGAAGCAUAAUCAGCAUUAUAUUGAAAACUAAAGGUAUAGAUUUCGAAAAAUUUUAGGGAGUGAAAAAAUAUUACAGAUAUUUUAGAGUGCUUAGCUGGCCCGCUUAAACCCUAAGUCCUAAACUCUAAAUUGAAAUUUGAAUUUAAAUUUGAAUUCAAUGGAUUUUGAAAAUUCAUAUUCAAACUCGAGUCUGACCAAAAAUAUGAAACCGAAAUCCGAACUCAAACCCAAAAAUCCGAACCCGAAAUAAUUAUUUCUCAUUAUCGUAUUUCAAAAACAUAUUAUUUUUAAAAUCUCAAAAUUUUAAAUUACAAGCUAAAUAAAAUUUAACAUCAAAUAUUAUAAGGUAAAAACAAUUCGGUUUGGGUCGGGUUCAAGUUCGGGUCACGUCAGAAUAAAAUCCAUACUCGAAUUCAAAUCUAUCAAGUUUUCUUUUUCUAUGCCCAUCUGUUUAGUAUCGAGUAAACUCACUCCGAUCGAAUUCGGAUUCAAAAUAAAAUUUUUGGUAUUUGUACCAUUGACAUCCCUAAACAAACAUUUAAGUGCAAGUAAUAUUUCCACACCCAUUUGAUUAUGGUUAACCCUCUAACCAAAAUAUACUCUUCUAAAAGUUAAUUUCAUUAGUAAAUAGAUAUUUGAAGAAUUUUUUUAAAAUUAAUAAGAAUAUUUUGUCCUAUUUAAAUUAAAUAUUUUUAAAAUUUUGUACAAAAAAAAACUUAUUAUAUAUAUUUACUAAUGAAAUUAACUUUUAGUUGCUCAAAACAUCCAUAAUUUAACAAAUACUUAUUUAUUUUAUCUAUAAUUUUUUAAAUAAAAAAAUAAUAUUUAUAAAUCAUAAAUUUAUAAAUAAUUUGUGAAUAUCUGCAUAUACCAAUUAAGAUAGUGAAAUCUAGUCCUCGUAUAAGAGAAAACAAUGAUUAGUUUAGAUUUUUUUUUUUUUUGUGGUUUUCGAAAUAUUUUAUGUGGUGUGUGAAAUGUGCACGUAAACGACCGCUGCCGGUAACAAUCUUUCUUGUGUGCGCCUUUUCCUCGCUGUCUUCCCGCCCCCCUUAUUUAUUCGGCGCUCCUUCGCCCGCAGACGUACGCCAAAAAACGAAAAGCGACGACCGACCGCUGGUCCUCGCAGCACGCCCCCAUCACAAUCCAACGGCGGGCAGCUCACCUUUCUCUCUCCCCCCACCUGAUAGCGAGAUUAUCGAGGAUCACUCCCCCGCUUUUCCAACUCUACCCCUCCCACCUCUUUUUGUUUCACCAAGCAAAAAUAUUUUGUUUGGUUCGGAAAUAAAUAAAAAAUGACUAUUUCAAAAAUAGAUAUAUAAAUCAAAAAUAUAAAGAGGAUUAGAUAGGUAUAAAUUACAAGAUUUUUUUAUAAAUAUCAUUUUUUUAAUUUUUUCUCGCUAAUUUUUUUAAAAAUAUUCUUUCCCCUCUUAAUAUUUUAAAUUAGGAAAAAUUUCGAAUACCAUCCCUAUAGUUUCGCAUCUUUUAACUUUAGUAUCAUACUAUCAUGUGGUUUAAAGUGUGUCAAUUUAGUACUCGGUGGUUUCGCACUUUCUUACUUUAGUAUCAUAUGGUUUAAAAUGCAUCAAUGUAGUACCCUGUGGUUUUUUUUUUUUUCUUUUCGACAAAUUAUAUACAAAAUACUUCAAAUAUUCUACCUAAGUUUAUCGAAUAUUUACUUUAGUACCUUUAGUUUUAACUCUGUUACUGAUUUUAUUUUCCUCCAUUAAUAUUUCGUUAAAUUAUAUACAAAAAAACGUAAGAUACCCUAUCUAGGUUUAUCGAAUAUUUACUUUAGUACCUUUAGUUUUAACUCUGUUACUGAUUUUAUUUUCCUCCAUUAAUAUUUCGUUAAAUUAUAUACAAAAAAACGUAAGAUACCCUAUCUAGGUUUAUCGAAUAUUCACUUGUACCCCAUAAUUUUAACUUUGUCACUAAUUUAAUGAAAAUAAUUAGUGAAAUAGAUAAUUAAAAAAAAAAAAAAACCACAGGGUACGAACUUGAUACACUUUAAACCAUAGAGUACUAAAGUGAGAAAGUACGAAACCAUAAGGGCUAACUUGAUACACUUUAAAUCACAUGGUACUAAAGUGAGAAAAAUGUGAAAACCACAAAGGGAGUAUUUAAAGAUUACCCUUUAAAUUAUUACAUUUAACCUUUCUCUCUCAUAGUUUCAUUACUGUUCCGUUCAUUUCUUAUAAUUUAUAUCAAAAAUAUUUUUUAAAAUAACAAAAAUAUAUUAAAAAACUAUUUUUUUUAAAAAAAAAUAAUUUGAUCAUUUUACUUUCUUCAUUAAUGUUUUUUUAAAAUAUUUUUAAAAUUUUAAGAGAAUAAAUUAUAAAAUUUUGAGACUGAGAGAGUGAAAGUGAAAAAGUAAGUGUUUAUAGAAAAGUUUUCUAUAAUCUAGCCGAAAUAUUUUAAAGGCGGUUUGGUUCUUCAAAAAAUAUAAAAAAAUUGAGAAAAAAUAUUUUAAAAAACUUUUUUUUAGUUUUCUAUCUAUUUGAUUUUAAAACAAAUUAACUUUUUAAAAAACUAGUCUUUUAGUUUUUCUAAAAAGAGAUUCAAAAAAUUAAAACACGAAUUUUUAUGAAAUUCCACAAUUUUUUUUUUAAAAAAACCUAGUUCUUUGGAAACAACUGGACAAAAAAGUGAAAAUGAGUUUUUUCUUUUUUUUUUUUUUACUGCUUGAUGCAUUUAGCCUUGUCUAUUAAGAUUUCAUUACUGUUUUAUCUAUUUCAUAAAUAUUUUUUAAAAUAGUAAAAAAUAUAUCAAAAUAUUAUUUCGUUUACUCUAGAACAACCAAAAAGACAAUUUGAUCAUUUCACCCUUUUGAUCAACGUUGUAAUUUUUUGAAAAUAUUUCUAAAAUUUUGAGGAGGAAAAAAACAUAGGUUUUAAAAAUCAAGAAGGAAAAGUUAAAAAAUGAUAUAUUUACAAAAAUAUUUUCUAUAUUUUAGCUAAUUUUUUAUUUGCAACAAAUAAAUUUCAAACUGAUCAUUCCCAACGCAAGUUAUUAAGAACUUGAUAGGUUAAAUCCAAGGUAAUAAAUUUGAAACUUAAUUACUUAUACAUUUUUAGUUAAAGAAUUGUUUGGAUUUUAGAAAGCGUAUGAAAGAGGUUUUUCGAAAAAAAAAAAUUUAUGGAAUUUUUUUUUUUUCAAUUUUUCGUCUGUUUGGUAUUAUAAAAAACUAGCAAUUUUAAAAUUUAUAUUUCUGAUUUUAUAGAAAACUAGUGUUUUUGUUUUUUGACGCUAGUUUCUAUAAAAUCGAACCCUUUUUUUUUCAAAAAAGCUAUUUUUUCUUGAAAAUAAAUGGGUGAAAACAAGAGAGAAAAACCUUUAUUUUCCUUAUUUUUUUUCAUACUUUUGCAAGAAAACCAAAAAAAUCCUUUAUUUAUUAAUAACAUGCACGAAGUAGAUACCAUGCUAUUUUUAUCUCAAAAAAAAAAAUAAAUUUUACAAUAUUUUACAAAUUAUGUAAUUUAAUGGUUGGAUUUCAAUCUCAAUAUUAAAAGUCAUGCUUAGCUUCUCGUGAUUUAUACUUUAUUAUUAAUUAAUACCAGCUACGCUCUUCUACAAAGUAUUGUAAAUUAAUCAAUUUGUAAGCAUAAUAUUACUCUUCAACAUAAUAGAUUGAAGUGAGACUUCGAGGUAAACUAGAGUUCAAGUAAAACUUACUUCCUCCUGUUCUUCAUUUAUAGAGCUGUGAAAUUGAAGUUUUUCGAGAUCUAUUUUUUAUUUGGUAAGAAAUGAAUGACGUGAAAAUUAAAGAUGUGAAAAAUGAAUUAAUAUUUUAUUAUUAUUAUUAUUAUAUCGUAAUUGACUUUUAGUUUGGGGCACUGUCUUGAGGACAUUGAGAUUUAACUAAAGAUGAAGUUACGGUGAUCUAAAUAAAGAAAGUAGACAUUUACUGCUAAAAACCACUUUACCCAUUUCUAGGUGAAAUAAACACACAAAUUAAAAGUGAUUUCUCUAGAACUAAAAUCUAGAUAACAAUUAUUUAUUUUUUUACGGGGGUCAUUCAUCCUAGAACUACUCCCGUUCUAAUACGUUUUAACUCUCUUAACCUCUUGGAUCUAGCCACCACCUAAAAUACUUAAGCCGGAUUAUUAUGUCUAGUCCAAAAUCACUAGACGAUGUAAAACUUGUCUCGUAAGGCUUUGUCAUUCACUGACCCUGAUUUAAUUUGUCAGCCUAAGAAUGUUAGCUGAUGUGAGACUUGUCUCGUUAGCUUUUGUCAUUCUGAUCAUAAUUUAGCCUGUCAUUCAUCAACUCUGGCUCAGCCAAGACUCACCUCAUAUUUUCGACCGGUGAAUCGGCUCUGAUACCAAAUAUAACAACCCAACCCGCUAGCAAUAAUAACUUGUUGGAUCCAAACUAUCGACCAAACUAUUAAACCUAGUUAUUAUUAUUAGGGUGGAGUCCUCUUGUAUACCCAAAAAAAACUCAAUUCUCAUCCGAUGUUCGAGCUAUCACCUUAUCUUUUAGGCAGGGACUCAGUCGAAACUUGCCACACAUUUUUCUGCUGGUGAAUAGCUCUAAUACCAAUUAUAAUAAUCCAAUCCACUAGCAACAAUAUCCAGACCCUGGUAUAGCGGUUCACCUUAUCAUUCAGACUCCAGCAUCACCUAUCACCUUGUCUUUUAGACCCUAACUCAGUCGAGACUCGCAACAUAUUUUCAGUUAGUGAACUGGCUCUGAUACCAAUUAUAACGACCCUACCCGUCAGUAACAAUAACUUGUUGGGUCCAAACCACCGGCUCAAAAUGUUUAAGCCUAAUUAUUAUUAUUAGCGUGUAAGCUUUAUAUAUUCUAAUCAAAAUUAUUUUUCCAUCCUACUAAUAAUACUAACUCGUUGGGCCAAACCAUCGGCUUAAAAUGCUUAAGCUCAGUUAUUAUUACUAGCAUAUAGGCUUCAUAUAUUCUAAUCAGAAUUAGUUUUUUCACUCGAUGUGAGACAAUUGCGGUGUUACAAACUCUCAUUGUCCUCGUCGAGUCCAAAUCAGAUUACAGAUGCAAACCAAAAUUAGCAGGCGGUGUAAGAUUCAAAAGGUAACUCCCAUCAAAUUCGUUGGUGUAGCACUUUGUUCCACAUAACACUUAGCUCUCACACUUCCGGCUGACAUUCGGUUCUAAUACCAACUAUGAUGUCCCAAUUUCUCAGGUGGUCAUCCAUUCUAGGACUAUUCUCGUCCUAACACGCUUAACUCUCUUAUCCAUCGCCCAGCACAAAGUUAAUUACAACGUUAUGAUAAAUAGAGUCACGAAGAAAUUUAAUUUAUAAUAAAUUGGCCAACCAAAAUAAGCAUUCACAACCGAAAACAACUUCGCCUCUCUGCACUUUCGGCAAAAGGAACGUGCCCUUAGCCGUAUGUCAAUAUUUAAUUUUCGUUCUAAUCACGUACCGGAAAUUUAUUGUCUAUUAAUUAAUUAAUAAUAAUAAUAUAAUACAAUAUAUAUUAUUAUAUUAUAUAUUUAAUUUUUUGAAUAAAUUGUUUGGUGAAUAAUAAUAAUAAUAAAUAUAAAUAUAAAUAAAAUAAUAAUAAUAAUAAUUUGUGCCUCUUCCCUCGCGUUUCCCGGUCAAACCGUCCCCAGAUCCAACGGCGGUGAUGCUCCGAUCCGCUUUCCCUCGCCCCCCCGGCCCUCGCCUGACCCAUCACGCGCCAACACGUCGGCGCACGCGUACCCCCCGCCACAUGCUUCGCACGCGCUUUCGCACGUCCGGCGCCCCCCGCCGCUCCUUUUUCCUUCCCCCCAACCCCCCAACCCCAACCCUAACCUAACCCUAAUCCCCCCCCCCCCUCCCCUCCCCAGUUCCCAAGACCUACCGAUCCCACACAGAAAAAAAAAGGGGUGGGCGAAGCAACACGAACGUAGAACAACGUAGGACUUGAUCAAAAAGAUAAAUUUGUAGGAAAGUUAUAUUAUUUGUCACAUCCAGGGAUGGAAGUGAACUAGUGACGAAAGUUGAAGGGUUUUAAUGAAAACUAUAGGACUGAGUAACAAUUUUGGAUAGUUUAGGGACUAACGCUUACAAAUCGCCCGUUUAUUAGUUUCUCCAACAUAAAUAAUUAGAAGUCACUAAAAAAAUAAUAAUAAUAAAUAAUAAAUUAAAAAAAGGUAGCAAAACCUUUGCGCUCCUCACGAGCGAGAGGACGCCGAAGCUCGAUCCCCUCCAUCUCCUCCGCGAUACCCUAACCUAGAGAGAGAGAGAGAGAGAGAGAGAGAGAGAGGAGGAGGAGGAGGAGGAGAUUGAGAGGGAUUACUUACUAGGGUUUGGAGGAGGAGAUGGAGGGGAGGGAGACGAGGGGGCCGCCGAACCCGGCGCUGCCGUACAGGGAGGAUUGCUGGAGCGAGGGGGAGACGUCGGCGUUGGUGGAGGCGUGGGGCGACCGGUACCUCGAGCUGAACAGGGGGAACCUCCGCCAGAAGCACUGGCAGGAGGUCGCCGACGCCGUCAACUCCCGCCGCGGCGCCGCCGUCUCCGCCGGAGCCGGAGGAGGAGGAGGAGGAGGGGGAGGGAGACGGCCGCCGCGCACCGACGUGCAGUGCAAGAACCGGAUCGACACCCUCAAGAAGAAGUACAAGGUCGAGAAGGCCCGCAUCGCCGACUCCGCCGGCGCCCUCCAUAGCCCCUGGCCCUUCUACGCCCGCCUCGACGCCCUCAUCGGCUCCUCCACACCCCCCGCCGCCCCUCACUCCUCCGCAUCCGCCUCCGCCUCCGCCUCCGCCGCCCCUAAAAAGCCCUCCUCCUCCCCUCCCUUCGCCCUCCCCCUGCCCUUCCACCGCAAGGGCUUCCGCAAGGCGGCCGCCGCCGCCGCGGCGGCCGCGGCCGACGACGACGAGGACGAGGAGUCCGGAUCGUCGUCGAGGUCGCUUUCCUCGCGGUCGAAGUUGGGGAAGCGGAGGAGGGGGAGGGAGCGGGACGAUGGGGACGGGAUCCGGGAGCUGGCGAGGGCGAUCGAGAGGUUCGCGGAGAUCUACGAACGGGUGGAGGGGGCGAAGCAGCGGCAGAUGAUGGAGCUGGAGAAGCAGCGGAUGGAGUUCGCCAAGGGGCUGGAGUUCCAGCGGAUGCAGAUCUUCGUCGACUCGCAGGUCCAGCUCGAGAAGAUCAAGCGCUCCAAGCGGGCGGACGCCGGGGAGCCGAUUAGAUCCGUCGCUGCCCUUCAUUUCCUUUCUACCCCGCGGUUCUUUGGAUGAACUAAAGUGCUCGACCGUUCGAUCUCUAGGUAUAAGAUUCUAUUCCUUUUCUUUGCUUUUGAUUUUAUAUACGUUUCGACGAAUGUGAUUUACGUAUUCUAUACAUCUCUAUCUUUAGAUCUUUACUUUUGGUCUUGUCAUCUUUUUUUUGUUGUUAGAAGAAUAGUAAUCGAGUUUUUCUUUCCUUUGAAGUUGUUUAAAUAGGAAAUUGGAGGCGUCAGAUUGGUGUAUUGUGUUAUGUGUUGAUGUCGAGGUGAGUACUGUAGGUAGAUAUUAUUUCAAUCAAUUGAGAGUAGGUUUUAUUCGGAAUUGCCUUUUUUAGGUAGUAUAGAUGUGCUUGGUGCCAUUGAGUGCUUGUUGGUUAGGAGGUGAAGAUAGUGAAUCUUACAAAUUUGAAUUUGUUAGGUAAUUUAGUGGUAUUAUUUCCACUGUUAGAGAGAUUUUGUAAUUAAUGGAGCCUCUGUUAUCUCAAUUAAAAUUGUUGUGUUGUUAUGGAGGUGAUUUCUGUAAGCACCUGUCUAGUUUUCAUUAGAUAUCGGUGAGAAACUAAAUGCAACUUUGACAUGAUGCACAUAUGUAAUGUGCAUUCACUAGCCCAAUUGAUUUUGGUUUACGAAAUCUAUGAAGCUGAUUGCUUUUCGAUGUUUGUAUUUUCAUAAGUUGUUUUUUAUAUGAACGAAGUGGUCUCUUCUAUUUUGGUGACUAGAUAGUUAGGAAACAAAGGUUAAAUAAUGUCAAAAUUAGAUGAUACAUUGCUUCUUGAAGUUCCAGUUAUUCAUGUUGCUUAGCUAGAGAUGUAAUCUGUAAGAGCCUUUCCACUUGGAUUCUUAUUAAGAAUCAUGUUUUGUCUUUAUUAAUGACCCGUGCUUGUUGAAUAUGAGUGAUGAUUCCUAACCAAUCACUAUGAUGCCUUCAAGUUUUUCAAACUUUGUGAUUAAGCUUCAUAUAUACUGGAGAUAGUUCAAAAGAUGCCAUGUAUUCUACAUAGAAAUUGCAUUCUUACUUCGAUGUUUUUCUGUUCAUCCUCUAUGAACGAUUUGCAAUGGUGAACAAAUUAUCCUUCAUCGUCCUAAUAUCCUAUUAUUUUUCAUUUUUAAGCCUAGAGUGUUUGGCACAUUGAACUAAUAGCUAGAAGAUUCUUGAAAGUGUUUUUUUUUUUUUUUGUUUUUUAACACUUAUGCAUGGUAGAUGCUUAUUUGAAAUAUUAAACACUGCUGGUUUUUGAUCUGGUGGAGAAUUAUAUAUCUGUGAUAAGAGUAUGCAUGAUGUGGUUAUAUUUACCUGUCAAAAUAAGAGUAAUAUUAUUUAUAGGUUUUUCUCUUCUUUGUAUACUGCUUAACAGCCAUUGUGUUUGUGGCCUCGGCCGUUUUGCCUUUUUAUCCUCCACCUACUACUAAUAUUUUGUGCUACUGAGGUGCCCUUGUUAUCUUUUAUGUUGACACGCACUGCUUGAUGGGAAUUGGUCUUUCUUGCUAAUUUUAACUCGAAACUUUUGCAUCUAUCAUCUGUUGAACUUUAUUAAACCAUUAGACAUGGUAAAGUAAAUAUUGUGAGUGAUUAAAGCAAUAUUGCUGAUUAAAACACCACUUCUCUACAAUACUCCUCGAAAAAGUCUUUACAGGUUGUAAAAUCGAAUCGUCGUUUUAGCUUCUCAAGUUAACCAUCUCCAGGAGAGUAAAUGAUUUACAGCUUGCAAUAAGUGCGUUACAUGAAAUUCAAUUCAUCAGUCAAACUUCUUCUGCCUGAUUGGAAGCAACCUGGGGGAGCACAUCUGUAGAGCUUCAAGCAUCUAACGUGCCAAUCUGAUAUUUCUUUACAUUUGUCAUAGUGGGAAAAACUAACAUGGUUAUUUGAGAGUGAGUUUAGUCGAAACAAUACGUAAACUCUAGUGUUAGUUGAGUUCAACUAGGUGCUGAGAAAGUAUUGUAUAAAGACCCGUGGUUAUAUCCUUUUCAAGAGCUUUCUUCAGUUGUGGGGAAUAGAUUUUUGGUCUCCUCAUACUUGUUGUCGUAAAUGUCAAUUCAUGGCAUGAGAAUAUUGGGUAUAGAUCAAUUACAUUGGAAAUUAUAUGCUAUUCUUUUGUUUCAUUUGCCUAAUGCUUCAAUCUUUCUUUUUGGCAACCAGCAAAGAUAGGUUUGUAAUUUGUCCUCGAGGAAUAAUUGUUUCUGUUUUUACUAUGCUGGUUUGUUCUUCUACACCUCAUAAACACAUGGCAGUAUCGUGUCUCAUUUAUUAGUUUUCCUGUAGAAAAGUUGAUUAGAGAAUCAUGUGUUACCUUUGUGAUCUUUUUUUGAUUCUGAUCUAAUUAGUUGUAUUAGGUUGCACAUGCUGCAUGCGCAACUUUAGUUUGUCUGCCACGUAUAAGUUUUGAAAACCUUUGAACUCUAUCAUGGCUUGAUUAUUCAAUGUUCUGUUGGAAACCUUCUAGAUUAGAGACCACAAUUAAUCUUCCAGUCUUUAUAUAACUGGUAUAUACGCCGCAAGGACUAUUUGCUGCUGCUGAUUAGUUAAAGAUCAAGUUGAAGCCAAAAUAAAAAAGAAAAUAACGAGGAUAUUGCUGUAUUCACAUUAGUGUCUUCCUAAACCUAAAAUGGUAGGAAGCUUCACGCAUAUCUGACAUAGGACUCCUGAUCAACGUCUGCUAAACAUCUAGAGCUUCCCAUGUAUAUUUUCUUUAUCACCUACUUCAUGCACAUAUAAAACGAGACUUUUCAGGACCAUCAACAAAUUAUCAGAAAAAUUUCUCCAGUGUGACCUGAAAAUCUUAUAUUGCAUUCGCAUUUCCGUCGCUCCUGGUCCUUGCUAAAAUUUGUCCACUUUAUCCUACGUCCCAUUGCUCUUACUAUCUAAUCGAAAGCAUUUCAUGCACAUCCUUUUCCCGUUCUUAUUCUUCAUGUUGACGUAUGUUGCAGCUGACAUAUCUGAUAGGUUUUCACAAUCAUGGAGUUUAGUGGCCAUAAGAAGUGUGUGUAACUGUGGCCACUUAUUCUGUCUGUGUUCAAGUGAGUGAAGAAAGAUCCGCACACACAUUCACACCACCAGUUUGUGUAUGUCCCUGUGUCGGUGUUUGUUCUUGUAACGCAUGGAAUCAAUGUUUAAGGAAUAAAUUAACAUGCAUGUGUAUGCAUGCUGGUGUGCAUGUAUAUUUUUGUUGUCUGUGCAUGCCUUUUUCUUUCUGUGGAUGUGCUUGGGUCCUAGGAUUUUGAAGAGAGAGGCAUAUUAAAAAUAAGAUUGUGUAUGUGGGAGAAAGGUUUGGACCUUACUUGCAAUAUUGGCGUAAGGAGCAAGUUUAUGCAACUACUGAAAGUAAAUCGAAAAAAAAAUGGAUGAUGCUAUGGUGAAACAUCUCCAGCAAGACCUUACUGAGAUGGUUUAAAGGAGUUCUGUCUUUGCGUUCUAUAUUGGUGAAUAAAUCAGCAUAAAGAGGAAUGUAGAGGAAUGUUUGUAUGGUCUAUUUAUAUUAUGGCUUGGAUAUGCUUGGUUGAUUAGCUGACGAAGUGCUCUAUUCUGGUAUUUGAGAAUCUGCAACACUUGAUUUAGAAAGAACGACACUUUUAUUAUUGGUAUGAGUGGUCAUAGUAUUAGUUAGAUUUACUUCUUUCUGAUAUAUUUGCUGGAACUAAAAGAAACUAAAUAACAGAAGGCUUAUCCUUGAAUUGCGUCAACAGGUUAGACUUCCGGUAGGUCAAUUUAGCUCGAACAAGUGCAGACCCAUUUUGCCUAAUGGGUCGGCCCAACUUGCAAACUUUUGGUAGGGAAGCAGAAAAGAAGAUGCGAAGAGGAAGAGUGUGACAGAAGUGUUGAGGUGGAGGAUAAAGAAAAUGGGGGAAAGAUUGCAAGAGUUUAGGUGCAUGACAAUGUUCCUGAUGAAAGGUCACUGCAAAAGUCAAAGAGGAAGACAGGAGGGGUUGGUGAUUUUGAGAUUUGGGUGGGAAGCAGAAGGGUCAUGGUGAGAAGAGGUAAAGGGGGACUAUGGGUGUAAGGGGAGGGAGGUUAUGAUCUGAUCUGACUUGCAUCUGGUUGACUAAUCUCCUCUUAAACCCAAACGGUAUAAUCAUCAGGUCUAGUUAAACUAGUUUGUUUAGUUCUGGACUUUAGGUUGGCUUUGCCUGUUUGGGGUUUUGUAUUACCACCAUUUAUAGGAACUAAAUAGGAGUCUUCAAAGAAGUUUUGUUGCGGUACCAAGAUGAAGUGAUGUCAGUAUCAGCAUGUUACUACAGCAGUUGUAGACAAAAUUGUGCACACCACUUACUCUGGCUUAACACUAAUAAUAAUAAUAUAUACAAUAUAAAGCAAUAUAAUCUUAGGAGAUACUAUCAUUUUCCCUAGGAUUGAUAAGAGGCUUGUUGAGACUGCCCUUGAACUGGAUCAAGGACACUAAGAUUCUACAAACUAUGAAAUUUAACUUCAAUUGUUUUACCAACAAGAAUUACUUACAACUGGAAAUAACUGGUGAAUAGAAGGAAAAUUGGGAAAAUUCGAGAGAAGUUAAUGUGCUAAUCAAUAGCAUUUUGUAUAAUUUGAAUGUUCGUGUUUCUCAUUGAGCCCAUUUAAUUCGAACCUUAAAUUAAAUUUGGAAAUUUAACAAAAAGUGCAUAUUUAGACCAAGGUCUGUCCUCUAGGGUUUGUAUUGUGGAUGACCCGUAUUUUAGCAUAACUUGACCUAUUUGUUGCUCCAAGUUAGAUAGUCUAAAUCGGGUAAAUACUAAUAAUGGCCGCAAUAGUUUACUUGAAUCAUAAAUUGACUGUUGGGCUAGAUGUAUUCAUCAGAAUAUAAUGAUCUGCAUUUGAAAUUAUCAUUAAAUAUGAGCAGCAACAUUGUUUACUUUUGUGCCAUUGAGAUGGGUAAAAGACUAACAAAGUAUCUACCAUUCCUCUCUCUCUUAAAAAAAAAAAAAAAAAAAUCAAAUUUGAGGUCCAUUUAUGAAGUUAUCUGAAUUUGCACAAUGAUUUAAAUACCGAUGAUGGCAUUUAUAUUUGCUACCUAAUUUAUUGUUUAAAUAUUGCUUGUUCUUCAGAUUACAUGUAGCUUGCCGUGGAACAAGUAUUGCUGUUAGGUGGCGGGCCUUCAUAACUUAAACGUGUUGCGAAUAUUCGCUGUCAUCUUCGAACCGCGAUUUGGUGGAUGGUGGUCGUUUCUUGGUAGAUCCUCCUCAUAUUGUAAUUCUGAAGGAACUUUGGAUAUAUGUAGUAAUAGCAGUAGCUGAUGCCCUAACAAUGGCUUUUUGUUAUUUACGUCUGGUAGAUAACUGCGGCUAGAAACUUUCUAGGCCCUUUGUUGCUUGUUUAUGUUAGAAAACAGACGUACAUUAUUUAGUUCAUCUUUUUCCUUUUCUUUUGCUGCUGCACCACAUUUCGCCUCCAUUUAAUGUGAUUACUCAAGUUCCUCAAAAUUUGCCUUGCACUGAUCAUCAUAGAAAUUUUUAUUAGAUGUCCUGAAUGUAGAGUCCUUUCGACAAAAGGGAGCUACAAGGCCUUAGUAGUAGUGUAAUAUUGUGGCUAAAAGCACCGUUUUUAUAUUUUGGGUGACCCAAAUGUUUCCGAAAUUGUUUUCAAUCUUUUGUUUCUCCAAUGCUAUAAAGUUACGGUAGAAAUCUUCAUUGGAGGAGAGAAAAUUGAACAUAUUCUCAAAAUUUUUGGGCCAUCGAAAGCAUAGAACUAAUGCUUUUAGCCACCACGUUGUCAAACUAUGCCUAGCAGGUGUUCUCUGGUGAUCUGUUGCUGCCAAGGAAGUCCUACUGGUAGCUGUUGUAGAAGUGUUGUUUAGAUAAGAGCUGCUUGGAGAAGCACAAACAGCUUGGCAUUUUAAUAUUUCCCGCCGUCAACUGCUUGCGGCAGCAGCAGUCGAAAUUUCAAAUGCAUGUUAGCAUCUUGGUAAAAAGCUGGGAUAUAUGGAUGGAGUCCCUCUUCAAGUGAGUCAUCUUUGCUUUGCCUGGUUCGGUGAAAGCCGCGGUGCUAUGAAAAAUCACAGAUUGUUUUAGCUUCUGUUGCUUGUUUUUGAUGGAGCUGCUGCUGGUGCUCUGAAGAAAUAUGAAGUACAUCAAUUGUUUUUUUGUUUUGAAGGAGAGUAAUUAUUAUUUAUUAGUUUUUAGUGAAGCUAUAGAGGAAGAUGGACCAAAGAAGAAGUUACUUGCGAAGAUUGCGAGGGAUAUUCGACGCUGCAGUUACAAUACUUUUUAUUAUUACUUUCAUCAGCAACUAUAAGAUAAUAGUUUUCUCGGCUUAGGGUGGGAUGGUACUAUUUCGUACAUUUAUAUGGUCCAGCUAUUAUAUUUUUAUUAGUACAUUUAUCAUUUUCGAUGAUAGAACUUUCGUAUCGAUAAUUUAUACGACUAAAUAUAAUUUGAAGCAUUUAAACAUUCUCAAAUACCUAAUUUAGUAAUAUUUAGACUUCGAUGUACCUUAUUAUCAAAUGACUCUGUAUAUAAAUCAUAAUUGGUUGAAUUUUUAAUAAAAAUUUUUAUUUACUAUUUAGAUCAAAAUUAAUAACUCGGAUUUAAAAUUUUUUUUAAAAAUUAAUUCUUUACUUUUAAGAGCUCGUUUGAUUUUGACCUUUUAUUUUAUACUCGCCCAAUGAAUUUUAUUAUGAAUGCGAAAAAUUAUAAAAUUUAAUUUCUACAUAAUUCAAAUACUUCGUAUCAUGUUAUUGCCACGGAUCAUCGAGUCUCUAUGAUCUAAAAUAAUUUAUAAAAAUAUAAAGGCUUUCAAAUGUAAAGACUUUCGUACUUUUUUUUUGAAAAGAAGUAGGAAGCUAUCAAUUUCAUUUCAUUAGACAAAAUGAGCUAAGCAUACAAGAUAAAAGUUGUUGAGGCUUCUGAAGAAAAGAGAGACAUAAGUAAGAAAAAAUAAGAAGUGAAAGAAAAGGAAAUACAGAUAAUAAAAGAAGUUUUGGCUGAGAUAGGGGUCAAGCGGUUGGCGAUCAGUGGAUCUCAUUCCAAGAGGCCAGCAAGAGUUUGACAUGCUCAAUCGAUCAGGUAGGUUUGGGGAGUUUCGCUCAGAAGAUAAUGUUAUACCUCUCUGUCCAGACGACUCACCAGAUUGCCAACAAAAGGGUUAAACGUUUUGUUCUCUUCACAGUAUCAUUAGGCUAGUUGUCCUUAACUAGAGUACACGAACGUCGUCCGAGACGUCAGCGAGAAUCUCCGAACCAUCCACACAUAGAAAAAGGUAUCAAACAAACAUGCAGUUAUACAAGAGAUGAUCGCAGCUUUCCGCAAUAAAAGCACAGAAAGCGCAAUGUUGCUCCACCUACCGACCUCGUAUAAGCAGUCUAUUGGCCGUAAGAAUUCUUUUACGUAAAAGCAUCCAAAUGAAUACUUUAAUUUUAGCGGGGAUUUUUAGUCGCCAGAUAAAAGGGCUCAUCAAGUCUCUCUGUUUAGCGUCAGUGAGAAACAUAUAAAUGGAUUUGACGAUAAACAAUUGAUUUGAGGUCCAGCGCCAGUUGACCGAAUCUGGCUUACUGUUAGGGCGGAAGGGUUGAAGUAGGUCCCUAAAUGACGUCAACUGUCUGCGAUUUUUUGCUGAAUGGGACGCUGCAAAACCACGGCAGAUGAAGCGCCAUCUCUAGCCGUUUGGAUUCUAGCAUUGAGACACUUUAACCUUCUUAUUCCUUAUCCGGUGCAAUACCUACUGAGGCGCUUUGAAGACGGAGAGAUAGAACAACAGCAGAUCGGGGAUUGAGGCGCUUUGAAGAUGGAGAGGUAGAAUAGCGGCAGAUUCGUGAAGACAGAGUUGACAAGGAUGAGCCUAUCCCUUUGGGAGAGUAGGGUGUAAAAAAUAGUGUUAUAGCUCUACUCUUUAAGUAGACAAAUGGCCCAUCCGUGCUUGGAAUUACCAGGUGGAGUUUGUGCCAGGAGCGUGUUUGAAAUUUAAUAAAAUGGAGAAUCACAAAAUCGCCAGUUUAUUAAUGAAGCCAGAGUUCACUUUGAACUCAGUGACUCGAUACCGAUAUCAGAGAAAGUCAACCGUGGAAGUGAGCCCAACUUCAACACGAACAAACACCCAGCCCCACAUAGGCUGGCUGGAAACCAGGUCUGGAAAUGCAUUUGAAGCCAAAAGAAAAAAAAUUUAAAAAACAAAAACAAAAACAAAACCCACAGUACGAACGAGCUUCGCGCACCCUCCUUUUUUUUUUUUUUUUUUUUUUUUUUUUCUUAGGAGGGAGAUGUUGAUCAAGAGAAAAUCNUUUUUUUUUUUUUUUUUUUGUUUUUCUUUUCUACGCUGAAACACACGAGGGUACACGAAUAAAUGUUUUUCUAUGCUUAAAUACAACAACAUAGCACCUGAGAUACGAAAUUCUACGGUAAAAGAAACCACUAAACCAAUAUGAAAAGAAUCUUACUUAUUUGCUUGGCUCGGGUCAUAUUCACCCCCCCAAAAAAAACAGAAUAAAAGAAAAAGAAGAAAAAGAGCACAGGAUGAAGGUCAAAGAGACUUGGGGCCAUCACAAGUAAGUGAUUGGUGCAAAAUCAAGCAAUUCCUGUCAUGAGCUGCUGCUGGUGCUCUACCUUUCUCUCUAUAUUUGCUCCCAGAGAAAGAAGCUUGGCUUCGAAAUUUUCAUAGCCUCUAUCGAUAUGAGACACGCCGCUGAUCUCGGUCACCCCUUCCACCGCCAUUCCUGCUAGAACGAGGGCCGCCCCGCCUCUCAAAUCGGCGGCCUCAACUGGGCAGCCAGAAAGCGCAGCGCUGGGCCAGGAAUGAAAGUAUUGAGAGAGCAAACAAAUCUAUUUACACUUUGUUACACACACACACACACACACACACACACACACAUAUAUAUAUAUAUAUAUAUAUAAGAAAACGAGUGGAAUUGAUCUAGACUUCAGGUUAUUUGCAAAACGACUGUCCAACCUUGGAACCUGUUCAUUUACUUUUCUAACAUUUUAAUUUCUUUGAUUUUAGUCUUGAAAAUGUCGCCGAUGUUGCACGCACACCAACUCCGCAUACUGUGCUGUCCAUGAUGCAUCUCAUGUGUUUCUUCCAACCAUCUAUAUAUCAUGAACACUUCUGUAAGACUCGUGUGUCCGAUAUGGACAUGCGCAAACGUCCGUGUCAAACUCGUGUCCGACGCGGACACACCAUGGACGCACGUUCGAUGCGGGUUCAUAGAGCAUCUCAUUGAAAAAAUAUAUGUAGUCUUUUUAUUUUACUUUCUUUUAUGUAUAUAUAAUAUAAGAUAAUGAAGAUUUUAGCUUUUUGAUGAAUGCAUAUUAUUAACUAAUUUCGUGGUGGAGAUUGAAUCAUCAAAGAUGGAACGAUGGAGUCGCAGUGCAUAAAUGAAUGGAUGGACUGGCUGCAUGCAAUAGUUUCUCAGUACCGUCAUAUGACUCAACUCAGGUGACUUGCUGUUAAGACUAAAAUUUUCAAAAAGUUGGGCAGUCGUUUCAAAAUGAUCUAAAGUUCAAGAAAGUCAUGACCUGGGAGAUGCUGGGAGAAAGAAUUACCUUCUGUGCCUUUUUCCUUGGAUAAAUGCCGAACUUCCGGAGAGUCUGAUUCUGGCGCCGAGUUUCUGAAGCUCUUUCACUACCACCAGCAGAAGAAAAAUAAUCAAGGUUGAUCAGAUUUAACUUGACAUUAAAUCUAUGCUGUGCGCGUAGUAUUGAGUAUCACAUCAUGCAUAUCGGAUUUGGAUACGAAUGAAUUAGUUUUAUGUUACUUUUUUAGGAUAAAUUGCACCAUUAGUUGUUGAACAUAUCACGAGAUCUUACUUAGGUCACCAAAUUUUUAUAUGUUGAAAUUGAUGCACAGAAAUUGUGGUUAGAAAGAGAUGACUUGGCAGUUGAUUUAGUUGCCACCUGCCUUGUCAUCCCUAGAUUGACAUGGCCGCCAUUGGCAGUUGUCUUCGAGAGUACGUUACAGCUGAGUUACUUACCACAUCAUCUCUCCAAUAGGAAAAUUGAACAGCAUUUAACUUUGGACCGCAUAAAACGAUGUUCAGUACAAUACUUGCAACAAUUUAAAAUUUGGUGCACUAAGGGGGUGUUUGGUUUUCCAGAAAAUAUCCAAGAAAAUAAUUUUUAACUGGAAAAGUAUUUUCUGUCUGUUUGGUUCCUAGGAAGAGUAGUUUUCUUGGAAAAUUUUUUUUCCAUAUUUCAUAUUAAAGUAUUGUUUUCGUUUUCCAAAUUUUCUAUCUGGAAAACGAGAAGUGUGGAAAAGGAUGUUUUCCAUGGAAAACUUUUUUACCAGAGAAAUAGUUUUCAAGCUUUUCCAACUAACCAAACACACCCUAAAGUGAAAUUUCGCAGCAAGUUCAACGACAAGUAGUGUAAUUUAACUGCUAUUUUCUGGCUAGGAAAUUGAGAUCAUGAACCCAAAAUGGGCAUAUAGCUAGAUAAAAGCAGUUGAAAAUGUACCAACUUGAAACAGAAGAAACAACCUUAGAAAACAACCGAAUUGUUUUACCACAUACCGUGAUGCAUACGAUUCUCAAAGACAGAUUCUUCCACGACACUUAACCCACUACACGUUGUUAGUAACGCCAUGAACUGAGGCUGGAGAUCGGUAGGGAACCCAGGAUACGGAAGCGUUUUCAGAUAAAACCCUUGAAGGUCUCCAUUAUUUGGCGAACUCAGAGCAGAUACCUGUAAAGCCCACACAGUCUCUCAGAGUCCUGAUUUUUAAUACCAGGAAGAUGAGUUUACUACCUAAAAGAACUCCUACCUCAAGAAUAUGACGUCCCUUCUGAAUAAUCUUGCAACCAGCAGCAGAAAGCUUGUCCAUAAUACUAGUUAAAUGACCAGGGAUCACAGGAGACAAUGAAAUACAAGAGCGUGUAAUUGCUGCAGCUACCAUUAAUGUACCAGCUUCUAUCCUAUCAGGGAUUAUAGUGAAUUCAGCGCCAUGUAAACGCUUUUUACCAUUAAUAACAAGUGUGCUUGUCCCAGCCCCUUCAAUUUGUGCGCCACAGGUAACAAGAAACUUAGCAAGGUCAGCAACUUCAGGCUCCUGUAGGUCAGUUAGCCACAUUAAUUUGCAGUUGAAUAUAUAUAUAUCCUGAUAUCAAUGCAGCACCAAAGAAAAGAAAGUAAAGUUUCAUUGUUCAGAAUCUCACUCGAGCUACGUUAGAGAGUAUAGUCACUCCAUCAGCCAAAGAAGCUGCCGUCAUUAGAGUUUCGGUUGCUCCGACGCUAGGAUAAUCAAGAUGAAAUUGACCUCCGACAAGUCCUUUCCCAUUCGCUGCCUCGACACGAACUUUCCCAUGCCUACAAAGUGCGGCUACAUAUUCAGUGGCUGACGCUCCAGAUGUUAAUUAGUAUGUUAGAAUUCUUAUAGAAAAAUGCGGGAUUAUUUUGCGUUCCACAUUACUACAUAAACAUAUAUUGCGUCGCUAUUUCAUCCAGGCCAGGCUCAAGUCCAGCAAACAUUGACUCAUCUCGACCUCACCCAAAACAACAAGCCAAAAUCAUACAAUCAAAGUUGUCUUUUAAUUGGGUUGGCCGACAAGCACGAUAGAUAGUCUGACCGAUUUGCAUCCCCGCCGCAGUAGGGUCUAUGCAGCUAGAGUGGUUAAUUUGACCAAUUACCCAGUCCCGGUUAAAUCCGGAGUCAAUCCCAACCUGAACCUGAUUAAUACCUGAGGUACUACUGAUCAGCAGGGUCUGGUCACAAGAAAGGGCCUGUUAAAAUUCGGGUCCGGUUGUGGGUUUAGUAGAUGUAGGGCUUCAACCAAGACAUGGUUUCUAUCUUCAAUUAAAUAUAUAUUUGGUUAUAUAAUAUUAAGGAGAGCUGGAUUAAUAAUUGGAGGCUACAAACUUACAAUAGCAUCUUUAUUAACUUAUAAUUGCUUGCAUGAAUGAUACCUCCUUUUUUGUCAAUUUUUCAUAAUAGUUUGUUUAUUUGUUUCUCAUUAUUCUUCAAUACUACUCGUUUUACUUUGAUAUGAAGAUAGGUAGGCCAAAAGUAUAGAAACCACAUGUCCAAAUGAUUAUGUCGUAGGUCCGAAACAUCGUUUUCUCGACACUUUUCUUAAUCAACUGUCGAUUUCGUCCAAUAAUAGAAGAAUCUACCAACAGCAAUAAAUUACAAAGAACUCACAUCAUCCACACAAACAAGUAGUACAUGACAAACUAUAAAUACUACAACGUUUUAUGCAUCUCCUCGCAAGCAAAUAAACAAAGGGUUUGAGCUUCUUCAACAGUUACCUCAAUUGGACGACGGCGCCGAGCGCGGCGAGGCCGCGGAGGUAAAGAUCGAUCGGCCGCGCCCCGAUCCUGCACCCGCCCGGGAGCGCCACCUCCGCCUCGCCGAAGCGCGCCACGAGCGGUCCCAGCACGAAGAACCCGGCGCGGAUCCUCCCAAUCGCUUCCGAAUCGGGCUCCACCGAGGUCACGGCGCCCGCGUCGACGACGACCUCCCCGCCGCCGUGCUCCUCCACGCGCGCCCCGAGGGAGCGGAGCACCGCGGCCAUGGUGCGGGUGUCGGAGAGGUCGGGGACCCCGCGGAGCGCGAAGGCGCCGGAGGAGCAGCAGAGGGCGCCGGCGAGGACGGCGAGGGCGGCGUUCUUGGAGCCGCUGACGCCGACGUGGCCGGCGAGGCGGCCGCCGCCGGAGACGACGAGGCGGUGGUCUGCGUCGGCGUUAGCGGCGGCGUCGGCGGAGGCUGCGGAGAUGGGCCGCGGAGGGAGGCGGCGGAGGCGGAGGGGGGAGGGGGACGGGGAGGGGGAGGGGGAGGGGAAGGGGAGGGAGGAGGAGGAGAGGAGGGCCAUGGGAGGGUUGAGGUGGGACUCAUUGUUAGGGUUAGGGUUUUUGGAGUGGUGUGCGCUCCACGUUUUCACCGUGCUCUCUCUCUCUCUCGCUUCUCUUUCUUCUCUCACCUCGGUGCUCUGCUUCAGUCACGGCGCCGAGCUCCGUCUCGGGAGUCGAGCAGUGUGGCCGUAGGAAGAAGUAAUUAUUUCGUGCACCGCAUGUAUUUAAAAAAACAUUGAAUGCAUAUUGGUCCCGCAAAUAUUUAACACUGUAUAAUUUGGCACUUUCUCCGAUCCACGUAGCAUCCUUAAUUUUGGUUCAUUCCAGUGGCGAUGUUAUCUCUUAUCAGAGCUCUCUCUUUUCCCAUCUCCCACCUGAGCCUCUCUCCCUUCAUCUCCCCUGCCAGCUGGCCCUCUCUCUCUUCACACCCUCUCUCUCUCUCUCUCUUCCCCCUCUCCAGCUGGCCCCUUCUUUCUUCCCCUCUCCUACCUUUCUUCUCCCCCCCCCCCCCCCCCCCCCUUCUCUCACCUUCCCUGCAAGCUGGCCCUCUCUCUCUCUCCACCAACCGCACGUCUUCCCUAUCCACUUUGUCUCUCUCUCUUCCCCACUGUCCAGAUGCCCCCCUCUCUCUACCCCUCUCUUAACCGGGUCUCUCAUUCUCUUCCCCUCUCCUCCAAGUGGCUAUGUCACGCCCCGGGGUCCCUUUUAAGUUUGGAAAAACAGCGAAAACGACUAUUUUUUUUUUUUUUUUGAAGCACCUGACCCCAGAGUAUGUCAGAUCCGCCACAAAUACAGGAAAUCCACUGUUCACACGGACAGAGUCUCCCCUAUAUUUGCACGGCGUCGCACAAGUACAAAAGUACAAGCAGUAUACAACCACAACUAAAUGUAUAUACAGAUAGCUAUACGUUCAUACAUUUACCAUUCACACCGUAGUUUUACAUUCGAUGUUUAAACAAAAGUCCACGAAAAAUCUUUUAAAAACUGUUCCAUACGCGAAAACUUUUAUCUUUUAUAAAAGCUACCACGAGGGGUAGAAAACCUUUUAUUUUACCAAAUCCAGAAAUUCUUUUAUUACAUUCAUGAAAGUCCACAUAUUCCAAUGUAAUAAAAAUACUGAACCAUAUAAACUGACUAAGCUAUAACAACAGAAUAGUAGGGAUAAAACUAAACCGAUAAUCUGGGUCGGAAGCUCUAUCGACCGCUACGAACGUACCUCACGGCUCGUCCCAAAACUCAACGUCUGCAAUAUCUGAAAAAUAGUGGGGGAGGUGAGAACAUGUAAACAUGUCUCCCCUCCCAGUGGGUACCGCAAGCCGAAGAAGGCGAGGAGUACUCACCGGAUCAGGAAGAGAUAAACAACAGUAUGGGUAAGUAAAAUACAGUAGCAACGAUAAUGAACGAAUGAGAUAUAUAUAUGAAAGCACAACUACUGCUACUGUAAUGUACAACUGCAAGCAUACAAGGAUAUCAAAACAAUAGUAGCAAGACAACUAUAAAGAAAGAACUAGAAAUAUAUAUGCAACAACCGCUACUAUAGCUAUAUGCGUCAACCGGACGAGAAGUCCAAAAGUACCCAAUCUAAACCGCCGUGUCGGUCUAAGGACCUCAGGCAAAAGCCACUACCUGCUCACACCUGGCAUGUAACCCUAGCACAAAGAGAACACCGCUGGGCUCACGGGUCGGAUUUACGACCAUUUUUCCGGAAAAGAACACCCUCCUGCGGGGGAUCAACCCGCUGGUGUACGUGAAAUGCACUCGAGCUGCGGCGAUCAAUGCGGAUAUGAUCAAUAGCCAAAUGUCGGCAACCAGCCGACAAUCACCGCCCCUCGGGGCAAACCGACCAAUAGGUCAUCAAACUAUAAAGAAGCACAAGAACCGACCACUCAAGUCAACUAGGAUGGAACGACUCUACAUCCUCUCAACUGUAUGUAAGUAUUGACUAAUCAAGUCAACUGGGAUGGAACAACUCAACAUCCUACCAAAAAUAUGUAGAUACUGAUCAAUUGGUCAACUACUGUAUAUAUGCAAGAAUCGAUCAACAAGUCAUCUGAGUAUAUAAUCUAGAACUACCGUCGGCCAUGGCCGACAAUCCUACCCCUCAGGGUACACCGACCUCAAAGGUCAUCAAACGACAGAAGUCAAGAAACAGACCAACCCAAUACAUAAUGCAACAACCGACCAACCAGGUCAACAGAUAUAAGAUAAAAGCACCGAUCAACUAGAUCACCGAAACGAAGUACGAGAACCGACCAAUCAGGUCACCGAAACGAAGUACGAGAACCGACCAAUUAGGUCACCGAAACAAAGUACGAGAAUCGACCAAUCAGGUCACCGAAACAAAGUACGAGAACCGACCAAUCAGGUCACCGAAACAAAGUACGAGAACCGACCAAUCAGGUCACCGGUAUCACAUAUGGAUAAACUACUCUACUCCUACACAUGAUACUAAGCAUAGAAACAUAUGAGUAGAGUAUAAUAGAAACAACGGGGAUGCAAGCUCAAUAUAUAAUACGAAAAUAGCAACAGAAGAACAGGGAUAGAAGAAAUAUCACCGAGCGUGCACCACUGUACCGACGUCGGAUCGAAGUACCCACCUGUAUAAAGCUGAAACGGUCUCGCGAAGGCGGAGACGAAGCGACCGGACCUACGAAGGGUCCACCGGGUUAGAGUCUAACCCACAAACACAAUAACACGACCAUUCUCACACAAAUCCCAAAAUCAUAACCCCUCGGAAAUCGGUUUCUCAAACGCAACUACCGAACCAGCCGGAAAUCCCGGAAACCGUACCGAAACUCCACCGUCGCUCACCCGUCGUUUCCGAACCCUCGAGAAGACGCGGGUGACCAGCCAACAAGGCUCAGCGACGCUACAAUCAACCACGAGGCACCGUCGGAUGAAUUCCGAGUCGAACGCGCGUUCUAUCGGCGGAUUUCACCGAAAACGCUCCGGAAAUGACAGAUAGAUUUCCGCAAGGGCUUGGGGCCUUGGACGAUCAGUCCAGAGGUUAUCUUAAGCCUUAACCUGCUGCCAACAGCAGCCACAACGAAGCGAAACGCAAAAGGAUCCCUAAUGGCCCAUGAAAUCACAUUAUUUUAUGUGAUUUCAUGGCUCUAACGGGUCGUACCAGCAAACCAGGGAUCUACGGAGGUUGCCAUCGCACUUGCUGCAAGGUUUCAGCAUGCCUGAGGCCGUGCUCACCUUUCGGAGCACUGCCGGCAGCAACCACGCGCGCACGAGCGACGCGAACCUCAGCGAAUCAGUGCGCAUACUGUGGAAAACAGCCUUUUCUCACUAACCAGGGCACCGUUAACCUAAAUGGAGGUGAGCAUCGUGUUCAGCACGAGCCCACGAUCACCGUGCUCACCUCCCGAGGUGCCAGGGAGUCAUCGGAUCACCGAAAAAGUGACCGGAACGCAAAACAGCAGUGCUGGAACCAAAGUAAACUACUCACCGGAGCUGUGGGAGCUAGGGAUGGCCGCCGGCGAUCGGGCGGCGGGCGCUCCGGCCGGUGAUGGGAGCAGCAGGUCGGGGAGGUCCGGGGGAGGUGCUGGCCGGCGGCGGGCAGCAGCCGGUGGCGCGGCGGCGGAGAUCGGGCCCGCACACUUCCUCUCGGGCUGGAGCUUGCCGGCGGCGAGGCGGCGACCGGGGGAGGUCGGGGCGGCGAUGAUCCGGUGCCUGAGACCAAGGGGGAGGUGGUGCUCACCUCAGAGGGCAACGGCAGCGCUCGGGAGUGGCGCGGCUCCAAGGUCGGCCCGCACAGGACCCGAGCGGCGGCGGGAGACCUUGGCGGCGGCCGGCGGGGCGCGGGGACGGCCGGGGACGCGCGCGCCGGGUUGCUGGAGGUCGCCGGGGUCGACAGGGGGGCUUGGCCGCAGGGGAAGUGCGGUCCCAAGGCCCGCAACCUGAGCUCGGCCUGGCUCGGGUCUGGGCAGACCCGGUUGGCUGCAGCCUCUUCCGGCGGCUCCGGCGACGCUCGGGGGUGGCCGGGGCCGGCGGGGGAGGGCGCCUGAGGAAGGUCUCGACCAGGGGAAGGUGGUGCUCGGGCUAACAGGCCUCUCCAAGCACCAAGCUUAAACCGGUGGUGAGGUGGUCCAAGAGAGGAGGAAUAUUGGCUGCAGGCUGUUUCCGGCGGCCGGGGCUGCUCGGCGGCGGCCGGAACGCGAGCACGGGCAGGGCAGGGAGGUGCUGGGAUGGCAGGGGCGGCUGGGGUUAGCUGGGGGGUUCUAGGGUUAGGGUUAGCUCAAGAAACCCUAGGACAACCUAUAUAUAGGUGCGGAAAACUCGCGGAAAACCCCCUCGAAAGGAAUCUAAUUAAUCCCAGCUCUCAACCAGCAGUCGCAUAACGCACGAUAGUCCCUCUAAGUUCGAAAACUCGCAAUUCGACGCAUAAAAUAUAGGGCCUUUUCGCGAAUAAUCCGAUUACUCAAAUCAGCCCCUUCGCGGACUUUUCGCGAUUCCCGAAGAUCCGUCCGUCGGAUUUCCGAUCGGAUCGUACCAGCGCGAUCAGUACGACAGAGGCAUCGAAUCUAGCAUUUCGUUUCGCCCGAAAAGGUUCCCGAUUUGCGACAAAACCAUCCCUCAUAGGUUCCACCAAAAACCACAUAUAGACAACUAUAUGUAAAAACCAUUAAACCCUUUUUCUCGAAAUCCGUGCAUCCAAAUCCAAUUCCGUCAGUGCCAUUGGGUCCAGGAUAGUCGAGCGGUUGAAAACGAGCUAUUGGAAGGCUAUAUUCGGAGUCCGAUACGCGUCGAAAGUCCACUCUACUCCGCGGCCUCUCUGGAAAACCGGAGUUACUAUUCACUUAAGUCAAACUUCCGGGUCGCGUAACUUCUCCGUUUUAACUCGUUUUCUCCUGAAAUUCGACGAGUACACUUAUAAUUAUAUUACACACAAGAACAUCGUCAAACAAAAGGGUUUAAUCAAUAAAUCAAAAAUCUCAGUUAUUACAGGCUAUCUCUCUCUCUUUUCCCUGUCACACCCCAAUAAUCCCACAUCGGAUAGGAAUGAAAAUAUGAUUGGAUAUAUAAGUGACUUAGACAUUAGUAAUAAUAACUGGGCUUAAGCAUUUUGGGUCGGUGGUUGGGCCGAACUAGUUAUUGUUGCUAGUGGGCUGGAUCGUUACAUUUGGUAUCAGAGCCAAUCACCAGCCGGAAUUGUGCGGCGAGUCUCAGCUGAGGGCAUAGUCCGUACGACAAGGAAUCAUCAGCCAGAAUUGUGCGGCGAGUCUCGGUUGAGGGCAUAGUUUGUACGACAAGGUGAUCGACUAUGCCAGGGUCUGGAUCGCCUGGUGAUCUUUGCCUGUGUGUGGGGGAUUAUUGCGGUCUGUCACACCCCAAUAAUCCCACAUAUGAUAGGAAUAGGGAUGUGAUUGGGUAUAUAAGAGACUUAGAUACUAAUAAUAAUAACUGAGCUUAAGCAUUUUGGGCCGGUGGUUGGAGUUAUUGUUGCUAGUGGACUGGGAUGAACCGUGCACGGCACUCGUGCUCACCCUAUGAUGAGCUGUGUCCUACGUUCGUAGGCCAGGAUAGGUUGCAAGUGGGGCGCAUCCUUUCCCUCUCUCUCUGCUAACCCUAGGGAGUGGUGGCGGCGGCGGCGAGGAUAGCGCGACAAUGUCGACUCCCCCUUCAAACCCCCGAGCUUCGCCGUAUAUUUCCACUAAUAAUUCUCUCCACCCCUUUUUCAAUUUUUCAAAUUUGAAUUUGAAUUUUUCCUUUUGGUCUUGUUAGUAGCCAAAUUUUUCGACCCUUGACCCGGUCAAAGAUCCUUCUCAGGAAGUGCGUCGGGAUGAGGAAUGGCUACGGAUAGUGACUCUCGAAGUUUGCGCCCUUCGACAGAUCAAGCGAUUCUGCUGACGAGGGAUCGAGCCAGCCGGGUUCGAAAACUACUACUAUCUGUUCGGUUCGGCUGAAACGAAGCCGGAAGAAGAGUCGAAUGGCUAAAGCAACACGAGAUUGGGUCGGCUUGAAGAGCCGAAAUGACUUUCUAUUGAUUGAUUACUGAGAAGUAUAAGGACGGAUAUAUAGUUUACAACGAUUCGGCUAAUGAGGGAUCGAAUCAGCCGGAUCCAAAAAUCUUCACUAUAAACUGAAAGAGCCGAAUAAAUGAAAUAUACAAUGACUGGUCGGCUGAAAGAGCCGAAUGCCUAAAUAUAUAUAUAUAUUAAUAAAACAGAGUGUGCCCGAAGGGCAUACAGACUCUGCAAAUAUGUAGUUUACAACGGAGCGAUGCCCAUGGGGUAGACAAAUUCUAGGGUUCUACUUAAAAACUAUUCCUAGGAAAGCAGUAAAUGCGAAAAAGAAAAGAUUACAUUUAAACUACUCCUAGAAAAGCGAUAAAAUUGCGAGGAAAUAAGGGUGGUUUUUUGUUCACAGGGGAAAAGACCCCUAUUGCAGGCUUCGAAAUUACUAUUUAUAGUAAUAUCAACCCACAUUAUUGAUUGGUUGAAAGUAGUGGGGGGAGUGGUUAUAACCAUGAUCGUGGAAGUUACGCCCACUCAGAAGUUACGCCCCAUCGUGGAAGUUACGCCCCACUUCUCAACCGUACCCGCCUAAAACCUUCAAGCGCCUUAUUGCCGACUCCUGGUGUACCAUGAGUCCUUAUUGGCUCAUACGUAGGUUAGGUCGGCAUGUUAAUUUCAAUUUUGGCAUCAACAGGUCUAACUUACUAUUAGGGAGGUGAGGCAGUGCUCUACAACGGAUACGGUGCUGGAUCGCUUCAGCGUGCGGCGCACCAACAUUUCCACCACCCCAAGGUUUCCCUUUUUUUUUUACUUCGAAAAAAAAAAUCAAAAUUAAAUCAAAGUCCUCCCUUCUAACUUCAAAACAUAAUUUUAAAACAAAAAUCUUGCCCAUUACCUUUUCUCUUUUUUAUUUUAUUAUUUUUUUUUGUGGAACAAUAGGGUGGGGCGAUGGGUGCGCAGAGCUACGGAGGAGCGCCGCCGAGAGGAGCGGCGGCGGCACUGCCGCCGCAGGCCAUCGCCUCGUCGGGCAGCGGCGCUGCGGGGACAAGCCACUGACCCUCACAGCAUCAUAGAACGAGUAAGCUUACUCUUUUUUUUUCCUUCCAUUUUUGUUGCAUUGAAAAAUAAAAUAAAAAAUUAAGAAAAUUUUUAAAAAUAUUUAAAGUAAUUUCUAAUCUAUUUCUUGAAGCUCGAUCUCCCCCCCAAAUGAACCAUAUAGCCAAGAGAAACCAUGAACCAGAAUAGAAGAGCUUGCCCCACCCAUGAGUAAAUAUUUCAUAGUAGCCUCAUUAGACCGUACAUCUCUCUUGGUAUAUCCGGAUAAUAGGUAGGAACAUAAACUGAAACAUUCUGGAGCUACAAAGAUAGUUAUUAAAUCGUUUCGUUUGUUUUCGUGCGAACAGCUUCGCAGGGAGAGAAUCGCGGAGCGAAUGAAGGCCCUUCAAGAAUUAGUCCCUAACGCCAACAAGGUAAUAAAACAAUUUAUUUAUAAAAAAUUAAAAAAUACACUGUAAUUUGGGAGUGUUUUAACUUCCUACUAUUGUACAAAUGAUAGCUGAUGUUGCACAUGUAGUAUGUGAAAGCGCUUGUAAAGUUCAGCGCAGAGUAGUCUACUUCUUCGUUUGGUUCGGAUAUAAGCAAGAACUAGCUAUUACAGGAAUAGAUAUAAGUAUGGGGAUAAACAAAAUAGCAUUUGGAUAAAAAUUGGGUUGUUUCCGGGAAUAAAAAAAAUACCGUUGAAUAGAUAAUAUGGAAUAAGAAAAAUAGUGGGUAGUUAUAUAUAGAAAAUAGAGGUGUUGGUGGGGAUAGUUAUACCAGCUUAUUUUAGGUAUCUGAGAACUACUAUUCUCGGAUAAAAAAUUUGCGUUUGAGAUAAAAGGGGAUAAAGUGUUAUCCUUCCCCUUAUCCCAUAUCCAAAUGCUACCUAAGCCUUUGGAUAAAUCCUUAUAUUCUGAUAUUUAUUUUGUAUUACAUUAAACAUACACACACACACACACACACACACACACCUUUUAACAAUAUACAACUCUCUAGGACUAGCUGAUAAUUUAAAUAAAAUUCAGCCUGCGAAAAAACAACAACUUACGUAAGAUCUAAUAUCAAUGAUUUGUUACCUCAAAUAUUUACUGUUUAUAUAUUAUGGCCAAUUUGCAUAAAAAAUUCACUAAUUUUGGACUUUUGCAAAAGUAGGCCACAUUUUUCGUUUUUGCAGAUUCGGUCCGAAUUUGUGACACCCCAAUAGUCCCAUAUUGGAUGGGAAUGGGGUUGUCAUUGGGUUUAUAAGAGACUUAGACACUAGUAAUAAUAACUGGGCUUAAGCAUUUUGGGCUGUUGGCUGAGCCCAACGAGUUAUUAUUGCUAGUGGGCUGGGUCGUUACAGAAUUUUCAGCAAACUAACCAAAAUACCCUUAUUACUUUUUCUCUCUCCUCUCUCUCUUUUUUUUUUUCUCGUUCAUUUUUUUUUCUCUCGCCGAAGAGGCAACGGAGGUAGAGGCGGAAGCGGAAACGGCCCACCUCGCCUCUCACCCUCAUGCUCUCGCCCUCGCCCUCGCCCUCGCUCGCGCACCCCCCACCUUCCUCGCCUCCGACCCCGCCGAGGCCGCGCCGCAACUAUUUUUUUUUCCUCUCCGACUCUCCUCCACCAUCUACAACGACGAUGCCUCUCUCACCCUUCCCCGCCCUUCUUGUCCUCUCCCUCUCCCUCCUCCUCUGCCGCCUUCGACGACGACGCAUCUUCGCCGACGUCGACACGUGGAGAUCGCUGCAGUGCUGUAGUCUCGGAGCGGGGGGUGCUUAGCAGAACAGUAUAAAUAUCUCUCAAAGAAUGCAAUUUUCGUUUAAAGAGUGUAACUUUCAUCUUAAUGGAUACAGUUUACAUCUGAAAGAAUGCAAUAAGAGGAGAAACAGUGUAAAUAUUUCCCAAAUAGUUUAAUUUUUAUUUAAAGAGUGUAAUUUUUAUCUUAAAGCUGCAGUUUACAUCUUAAGUGGUACAACUUAUGUUCAUAAUAGUGCAACGUUUUUUAAAACAGUACAAUUUUAUUUUUAACGGUGCAAUUUUAUCUUCAUCUUUUUUUUUCUAUAAUUUUUUUAUUUUUUUUUCUCGCUUCUCCUAUAAUUUUUUUUUAUCACCUCUCUCUGUCAACGGCCACAGCGCCGGCGACGCCGCCGCUAAGGACCCCCUGCUCCGAGGUUACAGCGUCGCAGCGACCUCCACGGUGUUGGCGUCAGCGAAGAUGCGUCGUCGUCGGAGGCGGCAGAGGCGGAGGGAGAGGGAGAGGACAAGAAGGGUGGGGAAGGGCGAGAGAGACGUGGUUGUCGGAGACGGUGGAGGAGAGUCGGAGAGGGAAAGAAAAAAAGAGUCGUGGCGCGGCCUCAGUAGGGUCGGAGGUGAGGAAGGUGGGGAGUGCGCGGGCGAGGGCAAAGGCGAGAGCGAGAGCAUGAGGGUGAGAGGCGUGGCGGGCCGUUUCCGCCUCCGCCUUUGCUUCCGCUGCUUUCUUCGACGAGAGAAAAAAAAUGAACAAAAGAAAAGAAGAGGAGAGAGAAAGAGGAGAGAGAAAAAGUAAUAAGGGUAUUUUGGUCAGUUUGCUGAAAAUUCGAACUGAAUCUGCAAAAACGAAAAAAAUGCCCACUUUUGUAAAAGCCCAAAAUUAGUGGAUUUGUUAUGCAAAUUGGCCAUAUAUUAUACAUAGGAUUAGAUUAAACUAAAUUGGUUACUUUUGUUUUCAGGUUCCAUGAAGCUUCCUCUCCAAAUGAAGAUAAGAUGUGAAGGAUUGCAUUUAAUUUUUAAGUUAUAUUAUAAGUUUCAACUGUCAGCUUUUUUAAAUAAAUUUCCCGACAUUUAAUAUUGCAUUUCUCUUUGUGAUUGUACAUUGCGUUUAUGCAGAUUGAUCCCAAUCUACUUACCAUGUAAAAGACUAUAUUUAAUACUAUAUUUGUCUAUUUAUCAUGUAAAAACCUAUAUUUAAUACUAUAUUUAUCUAUUUAUCUGCAGCGAAGUGUGGGUUUUCACUAGUAAUUCUAUAAAGUUUAUUUUUAUAUAUUAUUUCUGUAAAAAUUUUAAUAUUUUUAAAUAUAUUUUUCUGAUUUAUUAUCAUUAUUGAACUAUUUAUAUUUUAAUAAAAUAUAAAUAAAAUGUUAAUUUUGCCAUCACAAAUAUCUCCCUUAAAAAAUCACAACAGUAUAAUAUAAAAAAAUAAAAAUGUUAAAUUAUCUUAUAAACUAAUCAGGGUUAAGUAUUUAACUUAUAGUUAACUAAAUUUUUCUAACGAAUUCUAAUGGUACAGACAUAUUUGAAAAUAUUAGGAUUUUUGUAGGAACAACAUAUAAACGUUGAACUUUAUGGCUAUAUUUGGUUCAAAGGAUAAAGAAAGAAUAAGAAAUUUAUGCCUCUUAUUCUUCCAAACGGUGUCAAAUAACGCCAAGAACUACUAUUUUCUUCUUAACGGGUUAUUCCGGAAUAACCCGUUAAGAGGGGAGAAUAGUAAUUCCACCUAUUGGGUGGAACAAGCUAUUCUCUACCUUAUUCCUCUACUAAUUAAAUUAUAAAUAAUUAUAUAUUAUAAUUAAUUAAUGCAAUUAAAUUUUUUAAUAAUUGACUAAUUAAUUAUUUAAGUUAUUAAAUUAAUAAAAAUUUAAAUAAUAAUAUAUUUAUAAUUAUUAUUAUUUAUCUAAUUAAAUAGUUAGCCAUAUAUUCAAUUAUUUACUAAUAUUUAUAUUAUUUAAAUAAUUAGUAUUUUAAUUGAUAUAAUUAAUAUAUUAACUAAAAAAAUAAAUGAUUAAAUAAUUAAUUACUAUUAACAUGUCGACUUAUUUUUUAUNAUAGUUAUUUACUAAUUAAUUAGAUAAAUAUAUCUCAUAUAGUAAUUUUAAUUAAUUUAUAAUGUAAUUUUGAUUAAUUUAUUUAUUAACUUAUUAAAAUACUAAUUAUUUAAAUAAUAUAAAUAUUAGUAAAUAAUUGAAUAUAUGGCUAACUAUUUAAUUAGAUAAAUAAUAAUAAUUAUAAAUAUAUUAUUAUUUAAAUUUUUAUUAAUUUAAUAACUUAAAUAAUUAAUUAGUCAAUUAUUAAAAAAUUUAAUUGCAUUAAUUAAUUAUAAUAUAUAAUUAUUUAUAAUUUAAUUNNNNNNNNNNNNNNNNNNNNNNNNNNNNNNNNNNNNNNNNNNNNNNNNNNNNNNNNNNNNNNNNNNNNNNNNNNNNNNNNNNNNNNNNNNNNNNNNNNNNGUGUAUCUAAAGAUAUAGAGCAAGUAUACGUAAGUUGUCUAACAACGAGUAGAAACGAAAAAGGGAAACUUAACCAAGGGGCGCAAAAGAUAAAAUAUAACAAUCACAAGUUUCAAAGCUAGUUAUAAGGGAGUGUUUCUUACAGAAAUGGGGUACAGGUCUCAUUCAACUUCCAAAACAAAAUCGAGAAGAGAGGAUAGACCACUUCGUCGAAUUCCUCGUAGCUAAUCGAGGGAUUCCUUGUCCCCAUCCGGAGCUCUCCCUGGGGGUGGCAAGGCUCUGAAAGAAACAUAAACAGGGGGCGUGAGAUAUAAUUAUAGUUCAGUGGCGAAUUACUGACCUUAGCAAAAUGCACAACUAGCGCAAGUCCAAACCAAUCGAGCGAUAUAGAAAGGAAAAUAGACAACUGCAGGAAUAAAAGCACCUAUAAAAGAAAAUGCUUUAUUACUGCUACUGCCACAAGUAUAUGUGUAAGACAGGAGUACAAUCUACUCUUAUAUGAUCCAAAUAUGCCCCAAUACAUACUCUAAUGUUCUAAUCACGGCUACCGUUGCUAUGCGAUGGCCACAGUCAUACGCUAUCACAGUAUAUACAAUGUCCAAAUGUCCGAUACUAUGCUAAAGGGCACUAUCCAAGUUUAAACCAACUACUAAUGCCUAUCAGUAGUGAAUUGUUAUACACCAGUUAAAUGUCAUGUCUCAAUCUUGUCUCUUAGGGACCGUACACAAGUGUAGGUCCGGCUUGUGCGCCGCUAGCUGCCUUGUGGUAGCCCUAUCAUUCCACGCUAGAGACAUGAGUCUGUCGCGCACAGACGACCCUAACAGGCGCCUCGCCCUACCGCCUAGGCUGCGUGGGUAGCUCGGUCAUUCCCCACGGCUGGAAAUAGGCUGUCCACCGCGACCCCUACAUGCAUCUCAUCCCGGCCGCCCUGCCGCCCCGCCGCUCAACCUGCCGUCCGCAAAAGGCCAACUCGGGUGGCCGGCUUGUAGGGACGACCUCACAGCAAUGUGCGGAAAAAUGAGCACAAAAUGCAAGCAAGCGAUUGAGUUUCUAUCAUGUAUGGAUCUCGUAUCAGUGUCUCUGAAAUAGAUAGCCAUAGUACCCAAGGGAUCUGUCUAUGUCUCAAGUGAAGUCUCCCAAAUUCACUUAAGUCUUAGUGCCUUUUGUAGACCGCUAGAACUAUUACGUAUAUACCAGCUGGUUCAAUUUUUCAUGCCUCUUUAUGAAUUUUAGUUUACUAGUGUUUCAUACAAUGUCCCAACUCAAUUUGCUCGCAUUUAUUCAUUAGAUUAACUAUACCAAUUUCCAAGUCCAAUGCCUCUUAGACAUUAGUUACUCUAUCAAUAGAUAGGUUAAUACGCAAGAUGUCCUUGCCGAUGAUCUCACACUUGCUAAUAUGUACCUAGCAAUGUGAUUCCCAAUGAUAUAAUAUUAAGCAUGCAUCUAUCCACUUAACAACAUGUUUUCAUGCUCCGUAUUGCAACUAUCUAACGAUAGCAAUAGUUCUGAUAAUGCUACAUUGCCCCCCCGGGCCCCCCCUUACACUUUCCAAUGAAUACAAUUUAGCAUGAAUUUUUUUUUCUUGUAACUGUAUCAUACACAUACAAUUCACUAUAUUAUUAAGUUUUGAUAUAUGCCUCUCUUAUGCAUUAAUAUGCUGGCUUAUUCAAUAGCUCAAGCUCAGAUGUCGCUUACGACAUUAGCCUCUCUAACUGCACAAGUUAUUCAAGUUCAAAGCCACUUUUAUGGCUAAUGUAUUCUCUUAUGGUCCAAAUGAGAAUUUAUGUCCAAGGCAUAAUUAAUUUGUCAUGGUUUUAUUAUAUGGGAGCAUGAUUUCAGUCCCGAGUUGAAUUUGCUAAAAACCCAUUCUGACAGUAAGUCUCAAACAUGCAGGUUCUCUACUACAUUAGAGGGUCCGAAUGCAUGUAUAUAAACAUGUGGCAUUUAUUAUCUGUCAUAUUCACUAAAUGCAUAUGAUCUCAAAGCCAACAAUUAGAUGCUAUCCAAUUUAGGGCAAUGCCAACACGAACUCUCUACUACAUUAGAGGUCCGAAUGAUUUGUAUAUAACAUAAGCAUUUCAGCAUUCUAAAAUUCACAUAUAGCAUCUAUCAUGAAAAUCGUGAAAUUCUAUUUUUACGAUAUUAAAAUCCACAUAAAUGAGAUUUUUUAUUUGUGCGAAGGGUCCCCACCGAGACUCUACGCGCUUAGUGCCCCGACUCUCUUGCUCAAUGACUUUAGGUGAAACAUUGACUCACGAUGCUACGAUUCCGAUUUUGUUGAUUUUUUUGUUGGGAGCUUUACGCGCGAAGCUGCAGGCAAUCUGUACCGAAAUCCGGCUUCCUUCAAUAUCUUCGGUAGCUCGUCGUAUGCGAACCGACUUCGGCCAGGUAGUCAGAAACCUAGCAAUUUAGGUUAUAUACAGGCUCAAUCUAGAGUCGACCCUCACGAUAUUACGAAAUCUUCAUUUUUGACCUAAAUGCAAUUUACCCAAAUAAUCCAAAUUAAGAUGUGAGCAGCAAAUGCUAGAAUGCUCAUUAGAGGACUACCGUAGAAGCACUUAAAGCUAAGGAUUAAGACAAACCCAUAGCUACCCAAUGGUGAACGCCAGACGCACGAAAACACGCGCGAUCAGAGCGCACGAAGCUCGAUUCCGUUCGCUGCCCACGCGUUCGCAAGCUUUCUCCGCCGAACGCCGUGAUUUGGGCGAAAGAUCUCUGUAGAGAGAUGACGACGAGAUAUUUUUUAGAGGGAGAAAAGGGAGGGGUUUCGUCUAACUACAAUGAAUCGUGUGGUGUGCCGGUGGUGGUAGUGGCUGGUGAAGAUAGAAGAAGAAGCUAGAAGCUUUUACUUAUAGUCUUACCCCCAAUAGUUAGAUACACUAUUCACUUCAGGCACGUUCGAAAUCUGACUAUUUUUUCGCUGGGACGCCUCUGAAAAAUGCCGGUUUAGUUCAAAUUUUACGUUAUGUUCGGUUGUUUGCUUAACUUGACGAGAAAAAAUUUAAUUUUCGUUUCGACCUCCGUUUAUGGCACGAAAAGCUCGUACGAACUGUAAUUCUUUAUCAGAUCUGUCGGAUUUUACUUUCCACCCUUUCUGAGGGGACGAAUGUCAGUGAUAUGAAAUUUAAACUUAGCUCAUAAAAAUAAUUCUGGAUUUCCUCCAGUUUUUUAGAAUUUUUGAAGAUGUGAAUUUUCUGGUUAAAUAACCAGGCCGCUCGAUUCACACAGAAAAUUCAAAAUCUUCUGUUCUCGCUCCGAUUUCCGCACGAGCCGUUCCCGACUUAUAUUUAACUUCUAUAAGUCCAAUAAAAAUAGUAUCUCACACUAUUUUUAUUUAUACCCUUAUUAUAAAAUCCGGUAUGCUACAGGGCAUUAUCCACACCCCGCAACACAACAGUAGCCAAGUAGGCUACGCAACCUCUACUAAUCAACUGCCUAGCUCGAGAGGAUCUAAUCGUCAUCGCAAACAGCGAACUUUGGCAUCCUCGGUACACCACCUCCGCCUGCCCCAGCUCUCUAAAUGUCACCGUUCGAUUCUUGCAAUCGAUGGUGGCAAAGUAUUUAGUUAACCAAUCCAUGCCCAACACAACGUCAAACUCUCCGAGUUUCUGCAAAGCUAGCAAGUCUAUGGGCAUGAUCCAAUCUCCAACCCGAAUAGGGCAACUGGGGCAAAAUUUCCGAAUGUCCAAAGAAUGGUCGGGUACAACAACUCGGCCCGGGUGCAAUAAGGAUAUAAGUGGGAUGCCAUGCAACUCGGCAAAUAGUCGAUCAAUGAAUGAAUGCGAUGCACCGGUAUCAAAUAAAGCUCUAACUCGAAUACCAUGAAAUAAAAUGAUACCGGCGACCACAUUCUCGGCUGCCGCCGCCUCCUCAGUCUCGGUCGCGUACAUGCGCCCGCUCGGGGCCUGUCGUGACCCCUCCGCCUGCCGCAAAACUGGCGGCCGCCCUACCUGGUGAUGCGCAAAAGAUGUCCCCUGGCUGGGACCUGGCGAUGCUGGUGCAGACACCGAAGAUAGCGCUGGCGCUGGACUCCUCGGACAGUCCGACUGAAAGUGGCCCUCCUGACCACACAAGAAGCACCUGCCCCGACUGCGUGAACACUGUCGUGGGUAAUGAGGACCACCACAGAUCACGUAGCGGGGGGCCUGACGACGAUCGGGUCCUUCUUGCUGAGUAGACUGGCCACGUCCUCGCGACUGGCUCCGGCUCCUGGGGUGCCUCGGCGGCCUCCGUGAGUGCGUCGGACUCACACCCUCAGCCGCGGGCCUCAUGCCCUUCCCUUUCUCCGAGCUCUCGCGACGCUCCUGCAAAUCCGCCGCUCCUGCCUCCACUAUCAAAGCUCGAUCCACAACCUCUCGAUAGGUCUGGAGGUUGGAAGACAGCACCAACCAGAAGAUAGAAGGCCGCAAACCACGCUCAAAGAUGCGGGCCUUGUCCUCGUCGUCCCUCACAACAAACGGUACACAGUGUAAUAUCCGGGAGAACUCCCUCUCAUACUCAGCCACUGACCGCUCAUCCUGGUACAAGCUGCGCAAAUCCUGCUCCAUCUUCCUCUUGACGCUGGUAGGAAAGUGGUGCGCUAGAAGAAGCUCCUUGAACCUCGUCCAAAUAAUCGCUGCCAAGUCGGUGUUCGGGUUGCCCUGGAUAUCCAACCACCAACGGUAGGCCUCGCCGUCCAGAAAGUUAGUGGCGAGCCAAACUCUGUCCCGCUCCUCUACAAAGGUGUCUCGAAACAGCUUCUCCAUAUGCAUCAACCACUUCUCGACAAUCUAGUGGUCGACGUUCUCGCCAUCAAACAUUCUCGCGCUACACCUCCUGAACUCACUGAGACGAUCCAUGAGCCGAUCCCGCUCAGCUCCCUCGGCCAUCACGGGGUAUGCCGCCCCUGUCGCCGGUCUCUGAACUGGUAGUGCCGCAACCACCUCCUCCCGAGGUGCGGUCGCCGGUGCCGCACGUGAAGAACUGGGCGCGAGGGACUGCGCCCUCAGUGCGACGUCCACCACGGGUGCUGGCGGUGUGGGACCCUGGGUCUCCCUCGAAGCUGCUGCCUGCUGAAGUAGGAGGUCCUCAAGAUGCUUCAUCCGCGCCUCCUGCCGAUGGGCCACCUCAGCCUGUCGCUGCGCCGCUGCCGUCUGCUGCGCCAACAGAUCAGUGAGAACCGCAAGCUGGGCCCUCAAGUCAUGGACCUCACUAGAUCCAGAAGUAACGGAGGUCUCGACCUCCUCGGGGUGUGCCGCAUCAUCCGCCCCGGCAGACUGGGAGCGUGUAAUCGGCAUCGUCACUACAAAACAUAAAAGCGCAAGUUAGUAACCCACGCUAUCGCAUCCCCGCUCAAAUAAAUAAAACCCCAAAUCAUGCGAAAGUAAGGAAGUGUCCUUCACUACUAACUCCCGAUGUUACGUUGUCGGUCGCCAACGUAACCCCCCGCGAAGUUAGAAGCCGUACACUCCGAUCAAACUCUAACUUUUUAGAGUUGUCAUAACCCAAUCGUAAUACUUUCGCUCACAAGUCAAUUAUACCUCGUCUCUCACGAGCCUAAUUCCUAUAGUCCAACCGGCCUAAGGUUUGCUAGGUCCUCUACGACUCAACCCUAGGCUCUGAUACCAAAUUAAUCUGUCACGCCCCGGGACCGGCGGAGGCCCUCCCAGUAGCGUGCCCAGACCCGCCAUAUGUCUACACAUAUAAGGCGUCUACAAUAAAAGCGGAAGUAAAAGCAAGAGAUAGAACAAAUAGAAUGAAUAGCAACUAAUGAUAUAAGAGCAAGUAAAGUUCUAUCAUCUAAACCAGAGUAAAAGAAACAUAUCUAAACAAUAAAAGUAGCCAUAAAGUGGUACAAUAUCUGUCUCAAAGGUACACAAAAGGGUGGUCUCUAGUACACUGGUACAACUCUCAACCUCUCCAAAAAGAAAUACAUCGAGAGGUAGACCACCUAAACUCAUCUCUCGCUGAAGGGCUAACUCGAAGCGAUGCCCUUCCCACGGUCCCUAGCCUCUCCCGACGUGGAAGGCUCUGAAAGAAAAUAUAAAACAGAGGGCGUGAGAACUAUAAUUUAUAGUUCUCAGUGGGCAAUUACUGACAUCAGUUCAAUGCACCACUAGGCCCCAAAAGAAAAAGGUAAGUCCUAGAUAGUGAUAACAAUAAAUAAAUUGCAAAUAUGAAAGCAUAAUUAAAAGCUACACUAAUGCAUUGCAAUUAAACAUGGCAUUUAUAUAAUGCACCUUUACCUUGUCAUGAAUGCUAUGCCUCUACAUGGCCACAUGGGAUAUCAUGAGAUACUUUAUGAAGUUAUGAAAGUGAUACUUUAUCAUAACUACAAUGCGUGUAAGAAGGCAAUAAACGACGUCUCCUAGCAUACUACAUGUAUAUAUGCAUACUCAUGUGUCCAACACUAUGCUAGAAGCAAACCCAAGUAAUCUAAUUACUACUCUCUAUCUAGUAGUGAUUGUCACACACUCAAUACUGUGUCGGUUUCCAUUUCCAAUUAAGGACCUACCCAAAGUAGUCCAGCUUGUGCCGCCUAAGUGCCUGUGGUAGCCCAACAUCCCUACUCUUGGAAUGUGUCGCCGCACUCUGACCUCUGAUAGCUUCUUCUUCAUAACCGCACGGAUUUGCGAAAAUAUAAUCGCCGUAGACGCCAAACUCCGAUCCGGCUUCGGGAGACGACCGACUCACAAGCAGUCGAAGAUGAGUCACAAAGCCAAGCAAGCAUCAUCCAACGUCUCAUAUCUCAAUCCUCGUUCCUAAACAUGUGAUCGUCACUACAUUCCGAAGAUCUAGUUCAAUGUCACAAAGCAAGUUCAACAAAGCACUAUCCAUCGCGGCGCUAGGUCCUCUUGAUGACACUUAGGCAAUUGAUUUCAACAUAAGCCAAUCCCCGCAAUGCUAACCACCAGGUUCACAGCAUUGCCGCGAACUCGAUCCGCUUGAUACAUUACUUCUCUAAUUCGGCAUUCAUUCUAUUCAAUAGCCUCUAUAUGGCGAUCUUGUCAUCUUUCAUGCUCACAAAUUAAAUCAAAGUUUAAAUGCAUGAAUCAAGCCCAUUUACCAGCUAUAUGAAGUAGAAAACCAAUCUCAUAAAUGCGAAAUGCAAAACGCAAAGUCUCGCCAACUUCUACUACUACAUAGAGGUCUAAAAUUUUACUAUAUGCAAUAUGGCAUUUUAAGCAUUCCUAAUAAUUCACAAUAAAUACAUACUAAGCAAGGAAUAUGCAUGCUUUUUUGAAUAACCGAUACUUAUUCAUCAACAUUAUGCCAAAGAAUUCCAUGUGUGGCUAGUCAAACCACCGAACUCGUCGCGCUAGGGCCCCGUUUCCUCCGAACAGGAGUUGUCCAAAGAGAUCUCAAUAUCCUAAAAGUAUUGAGCGAAGAGAUACAUCCGCAUUACGAUCAACAUAAGAUCAAUAUUAACCAACAAGACAAAAGGGCUAAAACUCACACUCAAGGAAGAAAUGUCAACCCCGGACCCGAUACUCAAUUUGGGCCGGUCCCUGAGCACGUCAAUCAAGACGCCAACGGACAGAGUUCCCCUACCGCCACAAGCCAUGCACAUUACAAAUCAAACAAAAUGCAUCUACGGAAACAUACAACACGCUUACACGAGUUAAGGCAAUAGCCAAUUAGUGAGAGAAGGAACAAACUAAACAUCUACAACAAUAAUAUGCAUCAUUUUAAUCAUAUACAUUGCAUUCAUUCUUACAUUUGGAUUCUCUUGUAUUUCAUUACAUCAUUUCAUCAUUUCUUCUCUUACAUCACAUUUUUCUCAAAUGAGCUUUCAUUCUUAUACUUUACCAUCACUAAUCAUCAAAUACAAAAAUGAACAAAGGGUAGCUACUAACAAAAUAAACCCAACUCGACUCUGGUGGCCUCUGUCUAAGGCCGGAUAACAUUUGCCUCGUCGCUCGCUCGUUCGCUCGGUCCCGGCUCUGUGGAAUAGUGGGUUAAACAUACAACAAAGUUCCAGUGGUUCGGCCCCAACAUCACCGACCUUCCCACUAGGACUAACUCAGGCAUAUAAGAAAGAAUAAGCUGUAUAGUAACCAAUCUAUCACAUGAUCCUAAUAUGCCUGAAAAAUAGCAAAGAAAUACGCUCAACAUUAAAAGAUGCAGAUUUAUGCAAAUUUUCUCGUUCUUAUAUCUUUACACUUUGAUCUUUUUCUUUAAUCUUUGCUCUUUAAUCUCAAGGCUAACACCGGGGUUUUGCCACAUUAACUGCUUCACAUAAGUCCAUCAUCGCAGAACUCACACCGCUAGGACCGUCUUCGGUCUACUCCAACCCGUGAUGCAUAACUCCGGACGCAUCGCCAGGGGAAGCGACCGCCCUGAGCACCGAACUCAUAGCAAGUAUAUCGAAUCCUUAACUCCAAAGAUUAUAAGUUCAAUCUUGACUACACACUAACUCUAGUGUUCUUCACAUCACUUUAUGUUGCCACUCUAGCAAUCAAUUUCUCUUUUGCAUUUCUUUUACUUUUGCUAACUCUAGCAAUCACAUUCUUAUCAUUACUUUACUUAGCUAUUCUUUAGCUUCACAUCUUUAACUUUACAACGUUCUUUAUGCCCACACUUAACGUAGCUAUUACUCAUUGAUAUCAUCUUUACCUCGCAUUAGUUCUUUGCCUCACACUAACUCAGUGUCACUUUAACAUUUUUCAAAUGCCACUCGAUCUAUGUCAUCGUGCCACUAGGUUCUUUUGGCUCCACUUUGUACUCCACAUUUCUCUCAUACAUACAUAUAGGUUUUAACAUUCAUAAGGUCCUGACCCUCACAUUAAGCAAGUUUUACUCACAUCAUGCAACAUCACAUUUUUUAUCAUCACUUUACCUAAAAUGCAUGCAACAAGUAUAAUAACAUAGCUCAAUUGAAAUGACACAUUAGGCAUAAGGGAGAAGUUCAAACGAGUUGGAAGCACCACCCACCUCGUAGGUCUCUUUAGGUGCUCCGACGAUUUCUUGGGAUUUUAGACACCCGGUUCACUACCUACAGGAAAACGAACCCUAUUAGCCAUUUUGCUCAUAUUUUACUUUGCUUUUCGUAAUGCUAAUCCAAGCGCACAACGCGUCGGAAAUACCCCCAAUUAGGUUUUUGAAAGGUCAAUUCACUUAGAAAUCUCCAAAGAGCAAAAGCCCACAAAUUUUGGUACUCUAGCUCCAUACAUAUACUAAAACCUAGGGUUUGAUCUCAUUAGGAAGCAAAAGUAGCUUCAAUACUACUCCAAAAUAGUCCAUUCGAACCAUCUUUAAACAAAGCAAUAACCCUUACUUAAAGGUUCACCAUGAGAGGUGAUGAACCUCACCUCAAGCCCUCACCAUUUUCAUGGCCUUGAUCUCAAAAGAAGCAAAGGAAAAGCUUCAAAUACCAAAUGGUUCGCAUAAAAUCUAUUUUAGUCAUUUCAAGAACUCAUUCAGGGAUUUUAACUGAUAGUAUGGAUCAAAGCUUACCUACAAAAGCUUUCCUAUGUUGCUCCAAGGAGUGAAGAAGAAGAGGUAGGCUCACUACUUGAAUCUUCUUCCUUCACCUUCUUUCCCCUCUUGUCCUUCCUUUUCUUUCUUAUCUUCUCUCUCCUUUGGUCUUCUAGAAGGAGAGAGGAAGAUGAGAGUGUGAAGAGGGAGUAGAAUGAGAGAAACCCUCAGUGUCCCUCAUACAAACCAUUGGGUCCUGCAAAAGCAUCAAUAACCCCUCAACCUUUAUACUCCUUCCACAAGCCCCUGGACUGGGCUGUUCGCGCCAGCAGGAACCCGUCUCCUCCUUCAGUGGACCGGUUCCCCGAAGGUCGUCCCAGCGCAGCAGAAGCUGCCUGCGCGCCAGUGCCAUACCGGUCUCUCUUUGCGGGACCGGCUCCUCAGGCAAGGAUCGUAUCCGAGAGCUAAAUUUCUCAGAGACUUAGCCGAUAUUGGCUGCACAAAUCAUAUCGCGUCUGGACGUCUUAUCCACCUGUCACUCGCACCCGGAUACUCGUUCCCGGGCACAUCGACAAAUCCGCCGUAAUACAAAGAAAUAUCCCUUGUAUACGAAGCGUCAAAGUAACCUUAAAAUAACGAUACACAAACAGUACAAAGAGCUGCUCCAACAAAAACAAAUAACUGAGUUCAUAUAAUAUACUAGAAUACACAAAAUACAAGGUUACUCGCACUGGCGAGUAAACAACUAAAUACAUAAAUCCAAAACAACAACUACCUUGCAGUUAUGAAAGCCUCUAGCUCUGACUGUCGGGCUAGGAGCUCUAGCUUCGCAACCCCUGCCUGAUCCUGGUCGCGCGGAAUAUCAGCAGCGCACCUGUGGCCGUGCAAAACAGAGUAACAACUGGCGUGAGACACUACUGUAAAAACAGGUAUGUCUACCCAGUGGGUGCCGCCAAACAACAUCGGUCUAACCCACACGUAAAGUUACAGAAAGAGAGCAAAAAAAAGUAGGAAAAGCAGAAGUACACCUACGCGUAUCAAAUCAACACGCCAUCAUGCCUCACACUAACCCAAACUGUAGGAAAUGUCAAAUCUGACCUAAUCCAAUCGGACUGUAAACAUAUCCCUCCUUUGACUGAAUACACGUCCCUGCCGUUCGACUACCAGCUCCCCCCACUAUAACUUGGUCUUGGAGAAGCAAUCCAACGGCAUAGCGACACCAACCGCGAAAGCACAAAGCCUGACUCCGGAGUGCACUCGUGGCCUACCCACCUGAGUAUCAGCGUAUCCUUCGAGCUCAAUCAGCUCCGACCAUAGCAAAGUCCAAGUAAUGAACUCAACAUGAUCCAAACAACCAAUCAGGUAAACGUCCCCCGCACAGGUCUACGCCAAAAUAAGGCUGAUACGGGCCACCGUCAAUCUCUGACGGCACCCAACAGUUCCGAAACAACCUAGAACGACCUGGUAAAAAUCCACAUCGCGAACCAGCACGAGUGUAAAUACAUUCUAGACUACCUGGAGUACUCGUCUCGAAGAAACUGCGACAGUACAAUUUUCUAACGGCUCCUAGAGCUAAAUCAGGCAGUUUAUACAGGUGACAGGUCCAAAUCGCAGGUUUUCUCCUAAUUCAAUUUUCAAGUCCAACAUGUAUAAUCUACUUAAUUUAUAAAACAUGCUCCAAAAUUCAGAUUUCACAAUCUACAAUUAAUCCAUGAAUUUGAGCUAACAUUAAUUACCGAAAUCAAAAUCUAUACAUGUCGACCAAUAAGAACUUAGGAGUAAAGCCGAUGUAACCCACCUCGCACGCAAAUCCCCGGCAGCGAAACACUCUCACAGCUGUGGCUCCACCUGCUGGGUCGAUCGUAGUACUUCGAUCUCAAGAAUCGCGCUAACUCCAAGCUCUACACCAACCAAUCACCGAUUCAGUCCAGAAUUUGCAGCAGUAGAGUAGGAAUGAGAUUCGACCAAGCUAACCUUCACCAAAUCUGGCAAGUGAGGGCUUCGUGGAUUCCUCUCGAAGUUCCGAAUCCAACGAACCAAGUCUCGUCGAAAUCCGAUGCUCCUACGUCGCGUACGAGCCAAAACACCGACAGUAGACGCAGAAAUCUUAGAACCAGCACGACAUCAAGGAUGGCGAAAAUCCGCACUCGCCCGGCCUCCUCGCAGCAACACGACGUCGAAAAUAAGCUCGAGCGGCUCCGCGGCACGCCGUCGACGACGAAUCCGAGCUUCGCGGCUACCUCUACGCGGCUCCUCCGCUUCGGCUCUCCACUCCACACGAAAGAGAGAAAGAAAAACUAAUUAGAGAGGUUUAGGUUGCUUCCCUUAAUUAAAUGCAUGGAUAACUAUGCAUGGGGGCACGUGGCACCCACCUAUAUAUAUAUGUAUAUACAUGGGGCAUGUGGCAUCCAUAUAUAUAUAUAUGGAUGUAUAUUUAAAGGAUACUACAUCCUCCCCCACUACAAUAAGUUUCGUCCUCGAAACUCAAACAUACCUUUGCUCAGGCAUCAAACAAAAAGGGAUAGGCCUCCCUCAUCACCGUCUCAGACUCCCAAGUCGCCUCCCGCUCAUCAUGAUUAUUCCACUGCACUUUCACAUACGGGAUGACCCGACUGCGCAAUUCUUUCGUCUCCCGAGCAAGAAUCCGCAACGGUCGCUCCUCAUAUCUCAGAUCCUCGCCAAUCUCAAGUGGAGUGAAGUCAAUCACAUGAGAGGGAUCGAAAACGUAUCUCCUCAAUGCUGAGACGUGAAAAACAUCAUGGAUGCCAGCAAGUCGCGGGGAUAGAGCUAUCCUGUAAGCCACCGGUCCGAUACGCUCCAAUACCUCGAAAGGGCCAACAAAACGUGGACUAAGCUUCCCACGUACUCCAAAUCGGCGUAUCCCUCUGGACGACGAGACUUUGAGAAAAACAUGAUCUCCAACCUGAAACUCCAAGUCUCAUCUCCUAGUAUCGGCGUAACUCCUCUGUCGGCUCUGUGCUGUCAAAAGGUGUCGUCGAACGACUCUCACCUUUUCCUCAGCCUCAAGUAGAAUCUCUGGUCCAAGUGUCUUCCGCUCUCCCACAUCACUCCAAAAUAAGGGGGAUCGACAUCUGCGUCCAUGCAACGCCUCAAACGGAGCCAUCUGGAUGCUCGCUUGAUAGCUGUUGUUGUACGCAAACUCAACCAGUCUCAAAUGUCGAUACCACCCUCCUCCAAAGUCCAGGACACAUGCCCUCAGCAUGUCCUCUAGAGUCUGAAUGGUCCGCUCUGACUAACCAUCUAUCUGUGGAUGAAACGCCGUGCUAAAAUGUAGCUGUGUACCCAAGGCGGUCUGAAGACUCCUCCAAAACUGGGAUACAAACCUCGGGUCUCUGUCUGAUACAAUCGACACUGGCACGCCGUGCAGCCUAACGAUCUCAUCCAAGUAUAGCUGCGCAAGUCUCUCCCUGGACCAGGUAGUCUGAACCGGUAGGAAGUGAGCAGACUUGGUCAGUCUGUCCACUAUCACCCAAAUCGCGUCGUAGCCACCCUGCGCUCUAGGCAAUCCAACGACGAAGUCCAUCGUGAUGUGCUACCACUUCCACUCGGGAACUGGCAGACUCUGAAGCUUGCCAGCAGGCACCUGAUGCUCGGCCUUCACCUGUUGGCAAGUCAAACACUGAGCCACAAAUCUGCCAAUGUCCCUCUUCAUUCCAGGCCACCAGAACCGUGCCUUAAGAUCCUUAUACAUCUUGGUUCCCCCAGGGUGAACCGUAUAAGGGGAACAAUGAGCCUCUCUCAGAAUAUCCGCUCGAAUCUCCGGAUCCACAGGCACACACAGUCGGUCCCUGUACCGUAGUACUCCCGAACUGUCCAAAGCAAAACCCUCAGCCUGCCCCCUGUCUAGCUGCUCUCUAAUCCUCAACAAGUACGGAUCUCCACUCUGUUUCUCUCGGAUCCUAUCCAACAGAGUGGGCUGUAAAACUAGAGACGUCAGCCUCGCCGUAGACCCAGGGGGUACUAUCUCGAGUCCCAGCCGCUGUAGCUCCUCGAGUAGGGGUCUCUGCUCAGUAAUCCUCAAACUCAGGCUCUGCACUGACUUCCUGCUCAACGCAUCUGCCACCACAUUCGCCCUGCCGGGAUGAUACUGAAUACUAAUGUCAUAGUCCUUCAGUAACUCCAACCACCGGCGCUGCCUCAGAUUCAGCUCCCUCUGUGUGAACAGAUACUUGAGACUUUGAUGAUCGGUGAAAACCUCGCAGUGCUCGCCGUACAAGUAAUGCCGCCAGAGCUUCAAAGCAAAAACCACCGCGGCAAGCUCCAAGUCAUGCGUAGGGUAAUUCUUCUCAUAAUCCUUUAACUGCCGUGAAGCAUAAGCAAUCACCCUACCAUGCUGCAUCAGCACGCAACCAAGUCCACUGUGCGAUGCAUCACUGUAGAUCACGAAUCCAUCCCCCAUCACCGGAAGGGCAAGGAUAGGAGCCGACGUCAACCUCAGUCUCAACUCGUCAAAGCUCCUCUGACAGUCGUCGCUCCAGACAAAACGAAUCCCCUUCCGCGUCAAGCGUGUGAGGGGUGUGGAAAGCUUCGCAAAGCCUUCCACAAACCGACGGUAAUAUCCUGCCAGUCCCAGGAAGCUCCGUACCUCAGUCACCGUCGUCGGUCUAGGCCAAUCUCGAAUCGCCUCAAUCUUCUUCGGGUCCACUGCUACGCCCUCGGCUGAAAUCACGUGGCCCAAGAAAGCGACCUCCCGUAACCAAAACUCGCACUUCUUUAACUUGGCAUACAACUUCUUCUCUCGCAGAAGCUGUAGCACAAUCCUCAAGUGCUCCUCAUGCUCAGCAUCGCUCCGGGAGUAAAUCAAGAUAUCAUUAAUAAAGACUACCACAAACCUAUCCAAGAACGGCUUGAACACUCUGUUCAUCAAAUCCAUGAAUGCGGCAGGGGCAUUCGUCAAUCCAAAAGGCAUCACCGUAAACUCAUAAUGCCCGUACCGAGUCCGAAAAGCCGUCUUGGAAAAUCCUCGGCCCUCACCCUCAGCUGGUGGUAACCUGACUGGAGAUCAAUCUUCGAGAAGACAUAAGAUCCCUGCAGCUGAUCAAACAAAUCAUCAAUGCGCGGCAAGGGAUACUUAUUCUUGAUGGUCACUUUAUUCAGCUCCCGGUAAUCCACACAUAACCUGAGCGAACCAUCCUUCUUCUUUACAAAUAGCACUGGCGCUCCCCAAGGCGACACACUGGGUCUCACAAACCCUUUAUCCAUCAAAUCCUGAAGCUAUGCCUUUAGCUCUCUCAGCUCUGCCGGUGCCAUCCGAUAAGGUACCGUUGAGAUUGGUGCAGUUCCAGGAACUACAUCAAUCACAAACUCAAUCUCCCUCUCCGGCGGCAACGUAGUCAACUCAGGGAAAAAUACAUCUGGAAACUCGCGGACUACUGGGAUGUCCUCAAGUCCCGGCGCCGCCGUUGGUACCUCCACAAUAGUCGCUAGGAAAGCGAUACACCCGCUACUCAGCAUCUGUCGAGCCCUCGCCGAAGAUAUCCAGGUGGCAAAUAGCGUGCUCCUGCAGCCUCUGAAAGUGAACUCCUCCUGACCUGGCUCGCGGAACGUCACCGUCCUCGCUCCACAGUCGAUCGUAGCGUAGUACCGCGCCAGCCAAUCCAUACCGAGCACGACGUCGAAGUCCUGCAGCUGCCCUAACACCAACAAGUCUGCAGGCAUGACACACGAGUCCAACUGCACCGGACACGACAAACAACACUCCGCAACCAGUAAAACAUGGUCCGGGAUCUGCACCUCUCGUGCCUGUGACAAUGCCCCUAACUCUAGCCCAUGCAACAAUGCAAAUGCUCGGCUAACAAAGGAAUGCGAUGUACCAGUGUCGAAAAGAGUGCGAACUCUAAUGCCAGAAAUCAAAGUGAUACCUGCCACCACUCGGUCGGCUGCUGUAGAGUCCUCCACCUGAGCUGCAUAGACUCUACCACUCGGAGCCUGCUGUCGAAGCUCACCCUGUCGCGGCAUGGACGACCUAUCCUCCUGGCGGUAACUCGGUGCUGCUCUGUAAGUCUGCUGAGGUGCUGGUGGAGCUGAAGCUGAUGAUGGUGCUGGAGAUGCUGCUCGAGGACAAGCUGCCCUCAUGUGUCCCGGCUGACCACAUCCGUAGCACCGGCCCUCCCUCUGCUCACACUGUCUGGGCCAGUGUGGUCCUCCGCAGAUCACACACUGCGGCGCCCUCUCAGGCUGUCCUCUCUUACGGGAGUCUCUGGAUCGCUGACGUCCUGAGAACCCACGACCCUGAGAACGCGAUCGUGGAGGUCUCGGCGGACGCCUGCUACUCGAUUGGCCUCCGUCGUCUGGAGCUGGGCGCUUCCUGUCCUGAGUCUGUCCCGGCUCCUGAGCCCUCUCUCGCAGUGACACCUCUCCUCUCUCCUCCCAUAGUGCUUGCUCAAUGGACGCGUCCAAAGUCCUCGACCUCUGCGCCCUAACGAACCUGAACAGGUCGGGUCUCAAACCCUGCUCGAACAAGUAGACCCUAUGUGCCUCGUCUCUGGCCACGAACGGAACACAGUUCAGGAGUCUAGUAAACUCCCGAACAUACUCCUGAACUGUCCGCUCGCCCUGCUGGAUCCUCUUCAAAUCCUCCUCAACCUUCUGUUUCAUGCUGUUCGAAAAAUACAUCCCAUACAGCAUUCCACAGAACUCAUCCCACCUCAGCUGCGCUGCCUCCAGUCUCUGGUCUCGCCUCACUCUCCGCCACCAGUCACGUGCAUCACCUGACAAACAGUGUACUCCCAAAGGUACCUGCUCCCCCUCUGGAACGUACAGAUCCUCGAAUAACCUCU
rnacentral:lncRNA from 1 species